AAACUUCUAUAGAUAUAUUGUUGAUGCUGUUCACUCUAAAAAAAGGAAAUACUCCCUAUUGGCAAUGAAUAAGAGUACUUAUUUAAGUGUGUGCUCAAUCGCUCGCUUGCUACUUUGUUAAGUUUGUGGGAAGUGCCUCUGCCCGAAGUUCAUGAGGAUUUUAAUAAUUGUUUGCACAUGAACACUUGUUUGCAAUCUGGCUAUGCUAAGCUUUCAGGUAUUUCACAAGCACGUGGGAAAGUUGAAUCAGGAGCCUAAAUCAUCUGGCCUGCCACUGACCGCAAUCUAAGACUCAUUUUCCCGAGGGAAGAACCGGAAGGGAGAAGCCUGAGAUGAAUCAUACAUUUUCUUUCUCUUUGUAGCCACUUGCUUCCUAACAAUGUUAUAAGGAAGAGAGAAUGGGGUUUCCCCCCUUAUUAUGUCUCUUCGAGCUUCAAUCUGCUGUAGUAGUCAGUCGAUGAAUCAUACGAAAACAGGCCAAUUUUAUCAUUUGUUCUUGUCAAUGUGGACAUCAACAUUGUUGGAGUUGUGUCGAAUAUUGUGUACAAGGUAGGUUACAGUUGGACUUGUAGUUGUAUUGUGUUUAUAUAGGAUAUGUAGUCGUGUCCUAGUAGGACACUUGUAUCCUAGGCCUCUCAUAUAUAGCGGGGGUAGACACACGAUGUAACCUAUGCCAACAUAAUAGCACCGGAACGAAGGGAAGCCGGCGGCAUGUGCCGGUGUCCAGGGCGACCGGGUGUGGUAUUGUAGCAGUAUCAUGGGGAGGAGCGCCCAUAGUCAGGACCCGGGGAUGUAGCCAUAUCGGUAAACCUCGUUAACAAAUCUCGGUGCCAUGCUCGUGUGAUUGUUUGGUUCUCGGAUGAUCGACGGUAUGUCUCGGAUUUAUUCUGACAAGUGGUAUCAUCAGCAAGGUUCAAAUAGGUAGUUGUGUGUCAAUUUAAAGGAAGAUCAACGUUGAGUUCGUCGUGGAGAUGACGUGGAAGUCUAUCUUGUACCACGGUCGAUUUAUUCUAUGGGAUCUCGGCGGAGAUUGCAAGCAUCGCGACGGAAGGAUCAUGGUCGGCGGUGGCAGCAGCAGGCUCGAGCGAGUAGUCAGUCAGGCACCUUAUCGAUCAGAUCGAUCAGGAGCAGCGAGGGGCUCUAUGCCGCAGAAGCACGAGGCGCGUGCUAUGGAGGAAGGAGGCCGAUGUUGGGCGCGUGGACGCUAGAGAUCAGGGCCUCGUGGGCCACCGUGGUUAGGUGCAAGUGCGUUGUGCGGCUGAGGAGGGCGUCGGGCGAGCGAUGUAGGCUGCAGAGGACAGAAGCGAUUGGACAGAGAUUUGUUUUUUGGAAAAAGGAGAUAGAGUCUCUGUAGUACUAUAUGACACGGAUAGGCAGGCAAGUCAGUGUGAGUGGAACAAAGAUCCAUCAAGCCAUCAGAAGCAGGUUUGACACAAAGGGCAGCACUAGCUUUGGAAAGUUGAGCCAAGACUGGAGCUUUACGUGAAGAGACCAGAAGUUUUUUGUUCUUUGGUUGAUUUUCUAUUAGUGCACGAGGGGGUACCACAUCAGGUUUUGCUUGUGUACUUGGGUAUCAUGUGAGGAGCUCGGAUAAUUUUUUCAUUGGGUCACAGUCAUAUGAAGAACCAUGGCGCCAAUGGGUAUCAGGUUUGAGGUGGAGAAGUUCAACGGGACAGAAAACCUUGGGUUAUGAAAGACGGGGAUGGAAAAUUUGUUGGCACAACAUGGAUGCUUGAAGGCGUUGCAGGAAGUCGUGUCAACUAAGAUGGAAUUAUCAUGUGAUGGAUGAAAAAUCGCGGAAGAUGAUUUGGAGCCUGGGUCGGAUUAGACAGUCUAACGGAUCGACUUGGAUGUCGGUUGGUACAGAAUACGGUGGUGGGAUCGGCGACGACGACGUAGGAGCGUGAUGCUGAUGGUGACCGACUUCUGGGCGUGGAAACACGUGGCAUAGGCCCCGAGGGCUUGUGUGGCUUCGACAAGAUUAUGGCGCGGAGUUGAUUCAAGAUAGUGCACAUGAGAGCUAGAAGUCGACGGGGCGUAAGGGUGGACUGAUCAUCUAACAUGGAGUCAUGUUGAAGGUGGAGCUGGAUUGAGGGGCUACGAUGUAAGGAUCCAGGGAAUCGAAGCCUAUUCAGCAAGCGGGGAAAAGCGAGGGACACGUAAUUUGGACUGGAGCCCAGUGGUCUGAUGGAAGCGUGAAACUCGUCAUCGGUCGGUGAUGAUCGGUGGUACUCUGCAGUGGAGGUUGAGUGGUGUGGGUUUGCGACCCUUGAGACUCGACCAGGACAGCGGAGACUCGACGCGGUAAUAGCGGCGAGGCAUGCGGUAUGUUCAUGGCAUGGAGAUGGGCCAGGGCUCUGGUGGUCAUACAUGUGGUGAGACAACUGCGAAUUUGACUCGAGAUGACUACAAGUAAUGGUGUAGUUCCUUCAAGUUUUAGACAGGCGGUCAAGAAAGGAGCGAUGAUGUUGAGUUCAGGUAACUCUUAUUGUGACACCCAAUAUGUGAGUUGUUCAUUUUUCACGCAGGUCAGUGAUCAGUGUGUGAUGGUGUUGGACUGAUACUCUAGAAGUUGGGAGCGCAAAUUAGAGUAACAAGGAACUUAAUUUUGCUCGAGUGUUGACUGUGGUCAAGAAAAGAAGGGACUACAAGUUGGAGGUGGAGUCAUAUGCACUACUAGAAAAAGGACUAUAGAUGGGAUUGACACUAAUGGUGCACCAGACAAGUGGUGCGCCAUUAGUAUAUACUAAUGGCGCACCACGUUCUGAUACGCCAUUAGUGUUGAAACUACUAAUGGCGCACCUGGCCCAAGGUGCGCCAUUAGUAUCAAAAAAAAUUGAACUAGUGCGCCUGUCCAGACAUACUAAUGGCGCAUCCAGACGAAGUGCGCCAUUACUAGUUGUAACUAGUAAUGGCGCACCUGUCAGAAAGUGCGCCACUAAUGUUGUUUUUUUAAUUAUUUUUUUAUUCCUUUUUUGCAAAACUACUAAUGGUGCACUGUCCCACGGUGCUCCAUUACUAGUUUGAACUAGUAAUGGCGCACCGUGGGACAUUGCGCCAUUAGUAUGUUUUUUUUCAAAACUACUAAUGGCGCACCACCAGAGGGUGCGCCAUUAGUAACCUGGAUUACUAAUGGCGCAUUUAUGGUUGGUGCGCCAUUAGUAAGUAGGAAGCAACAAGAUAUUUUGGACAGCCUCUCCUCCCACACUCACUUUCUCCCCACUUCAUUCUCUCCACCGCCUCCUCCUUGUCUCGGGUGCCUCCUCUUUUUCACCUCAUUUCCACCAUAGAUUCAUUCAAAUUAAGCGGUUAAAUUACCUUGUUUUGAUAGGUAAGUAAGGGGGAAGCUAUAUUUAUGUUGUUCUCCCUACAACAAUGUGCAAAUGCACUUUUUAUGGCCUAGCUAGAUCUAUGAAUGUUCGUGGUGUUGCAUAUGUUUGUGGUGUUGCAUAUGUGUUUGUGUUUGGAGGUGUACCGGUAUUUGAAAUGCGAUAGUUGCCAAUAUUUUGCCGGAAUGUUGAUUCAUUUCCGUUUCGGCAAGAAUUUUGGCAUUAAGCAUUCUUUUUGGUCCUAUUUUUAGGGAAAGUCAUGCCAAAUUUUUUCUUGGUUCUAAAAUAUCGUUUUGCUCUACCCCGCAGGCGACCAUGGUCCGCACGAUGACCGAAGGCAUCGUGAAUAGGUUUUUGAGGUCCGCGAAGCCCGAGAUGCUUCAAAAGAACGAGACGGAGAUAAGAUGUCCGUGUCGAAGAUGCAAGCUGAAGAGCCUUAUUGCGGACCCGGAUUCCGGGCAGGUGCGAGACCACCUGCUCUUGCGUGGUUUCAUGGAUGGCUAUCGGUGGCAAGGUGAUGAAGAUGACUACGAAGUCGUCCAUGGGGGCCAGGCAAGAAAUGAGGAAGGGCAGCAAGACAACCACCGCGGCUCGGGCAGGCGAGAAGACGAAGAAUCCCCAGGAGAUGAUCACGACGGUGAUGCUGUACACAGUCAUCAUGUAGAAGAUGCAGGACAUGAUGAUGAUGCCGGCGGAGCAGACGACGCUGGACCAUCGAUGGGCUGGGUGCAGGACCCUCAUAUUCAAGAGCUGCUUCUCAAGCAGACAGAUAACGCAAGAGCUGCCGCCCGAGAGAAAGCCAAGAUGGAUCAACUUGAGUUAGACGCGGUUACUCCAUUGUAUGAAGGAUGUAGGCCUGAGGAUACCCGCCUGAAAGUAACGCUCAUGGCUCUGGAGAUGAAGGUAAAACACAAAAUGACCGACGCAUGCUUCGACGAGAACAUGUCAUUCUGGCACGAACGUCUUCCCAAGGGGAACAAGUGCCCGGCCAGUUUGGAGGAGGCAAAGAAAAUCGUGUGUCCUCUGGAUUUACCGCACGUGAAAUACCAUGUGUGCAUGAACAAUUGCAUCAUUUAUCGGGACGAGCACGCGGAGUCUACCAUAUGUCCGGUGUGUGGCGUCACUCGAUACAAGAAGAGGAAGAAAGCUCCUUGAAAAGUGGUGUGGUACUUUCCGAUCACUCCUCGUCUGCAGCGGUAUUUCGCGGACCCUAAGGUAGCAAAGCUCCUGCGUUGGCACGCGGAUAGGGAGGAGAAGAAGCGAGAAGAUGACGCAAAUGAUCCGGAGAUAGAUAAAAAAGACAAGAUGCUGAGUCACCCUAAGGAUGCGAGCCAGUGGCAACCGUUGAACUUCGAAUACCCAGAAUUUGGGAACGAUCCAAGGAACAUCGUGCUGGGCGCGAGCACCGAUGGAGUCAAUCCGUUUGGCAGCCAGAGAAGCACACAUAGCACCUGGCAUGUGUUUGUGUGGAUGUACAACCUUCCCCCCUGGUUGUGCAUGAAGAGGAAGUACAUUCACAUGAGUAUGCUAAUUGAAGGGCCGAAACAACUAGGGAACGACAUCAAUCUGUAUCUGGGGCUGCUGAAAGAGGAGCUUGACACGCUGUGGAAAAUGCCUGCCAAUACGUGGGAUGCCGCAGAGAAAGAAUAUUUCCCUAUGAGAGCCGCACUGCUCACGAUGGUGCACGACUAUCUCGGUUACGGAUAUCUCGCGGGGCAGGUAGUCCAUGGAUUUUCUGGAUGCGUAAGGUGCAUGGAUGACACAAUGUAUCGCCAACUAGAUAGAGAUCCCGGGUCUUCGAAAACCGUGUUCAUGGGACAUCGAAGGUGGCUUCACGACGAUGACCCGUGGAGGAAGCGCAAGGAUCUGUUCGAUGGUGAAACCGAACCCCGAAAACGCCCGUGUACGAGGAGCGGUGAGGAAAUAGACAAGCUGUUGAAAAAUUGGAAAGACUGCCCACUACCGGGAAAGAAGCAAAAGGCGCCAGAGCCAGGAAAGAAGCGAAAGGCGCCAGAGCCGCUGCUGAAGGUAUGGAAAACGAGGUCUGUUUUCUGGGACUUGCCGUACUGGAAGAUCCACCGUGUGCCUCACAGCCUUGAUGUCAUGCAUAUCACGAAGAACGUGUGCGAGAGUCUGCUUGGUACCCUGCUCAACAUGCCAGAGAGGACCAAAGAUGGGCCGAAAGCAAGGGCAGACUUGAAAUCAAUGGGCAUCAGGCAGGAGCUUCACGCUAAUGGUGAUGAUGAUGAUGAUGAUGAUGAUGAUGAUGAUGAUGAUGAUGCGAAGCAGGACACAGAAAGUCGUCGCAAAGGCAAAAAGGCCAAGAAGACCGGAAAUGACUACCCUCCCGCGUGCUUCACUCUAAGUCAGGAGGAGAUCGACCAGUUUUUCACCUGCCUCCAAGGAGUAAAAUUUCCUUACGGUUACGCGGGGAAGAUAAGCAGAUACCUAGACCCAGCGAAGCAGAAGUUCAGUGGGAUGAAGUCUCACGACUGUCACGUGCUGAUGACGCAGAUACUUCUAGUUGCAAUCUGUGGGAUCGUGGACGCGCACGUCCGUGAAACGCUAUUUGGCCUAUGCAACUUUUUCGACGUCAUCUCUCGGAAGUCGAUUGGCGUGAGGCAACUCAGAAGGCUACAUGAAGAGAUCGUGGUGAUACUAUGCGAUCUUGAGAUGUACUUCCCGCCCGCAUUCUUCGACGUUAUGGUGCAUCUGCUGGUCCAUAUAGUGGAGGAUAUCAUCCAACUCGGGCCGACGUUCCUGCAUAGCAUGAUGCCGUUCGAAAGGAUGAAUGGUGUCAUCAAAGGAUACGUUCGCAACAUGUCAUGUCCAGAGGGAAGUAUAGCCAGGGGCUUUCUGACCGAAGAGUACAUCUCCUACUGCAUGAAUUAUCUAGGCAUCGAGAACCCCGUUGGUCUGCCCGUCAACAGGCACCUCGGCAGGCUCGCUGGAUGCGGUCACCGUGAGGGUCGCCGCAAAAUGCAUGUCGACUUAGAGGGUCGACUCGCCGACUUUGAAAGAGCAAACCUAGUCGCGCUACAACACAUAGACGUGGUCGAUCCUUGGGUGGUAGAGCACAAAACCUUUAUUAAGAAGACGUACAAUGACCGAGGCCAACAGAGGACGGACGGAGAUAUAAUCAAAGCGCACAACUCAUGUUUCACGCGUUGGUUCAAGCAGAAGCUUCUGUCAUACCCUUUACAUGAGGAUUCUUCCGCGGAAGAACAACUCAUAUUCGCCUUUUCACAGGGCGCCGAGCACAACCUGAUGACAUAUGAGGCGUACGAUAUCAACGGCUACACAUUCUACACCGAGGCCAAGGACAUGAAGAGCGAUGGUUAUCAGAACUCCGGGGUAACGAUGGAAUCCUACACCGGUAAUGACAAGGACAGAUACUACGGAAGGAUCAAGGAGAUCUGGGAGCUGAGCUACGCUGGAGAGAAGGUCCCGAUGUUCCGUGUCAGAUGGGCGAAGAGCGUCCUAAAAGAAGACCGGUAUUUCACCACCAUGGUUAUACCCGAAGCCAAAUCCAAGACCGCGGGCGCAAACGUCACCGCGAAAAAUGAUCCAUGGGUACUGGCUUCCCAAGUUGACCAAUGCUUCUUCAUUACCGACCCGUCAAAGCCCAGUCGUGUUGUCGUGAGGAGAGGCAAAAGGAAGAUCAUCGGAAUGGAUGGAGUAGCCAAUGAGCAAGACUUCGACAAGUACGGCGACCCGAGGAUUGAACAUGACGACGAUGAUGAAGUAGCAGCAUACACCACAAGAAGAAGCAGGACCACCCUACCUAAAGGACGUCCGUUCCACAGAAGAACUCCAUUUGCGAAAAAGAAGGGCAAGAAGAAUGUGAACAGAUAGCUAGCUAAGAUCGAUUGUAUUUAAAUCGUAGCCUUCAUUUCUCGAUUGUAUUUCAUGGGCACUUUUUGAACUAUCAUGAAUAUUUUCAAAUUUCAUGGGCACUCGAUCUCGAUCCCCCUCCAUCUCGAUCGCUAUCCCACCUCGCCAGAUCCGGUCCCCCUCGCCGCCGAGCACCCCCCGGUCCACCGGCCGCCACCGCCGACCCCCCGCACCCUCNNNNNNNNNNNNNNNNNNNNNNNNNNNNNNNNNNNNNNNNNNNNNNNNNNNNNNNNNNNNNNNNNNNNNNNNNNNNNNNNNNNNNNNNNNNNNNNNNNNNNNNNNNNNNNNNNNNNNNNNNNNNNNNNNNNNNNNNNNNNNNNNNNNNNNNNNNNNNNNNNNNNNNNNNNNNNNNNNNNNNNNNNNNNNNNNNNNNNNNNNNNNNNNNNNNNNNNNNNNNNNNNNNNNNNNNNNNNNNNNNNNNNNNNNNNNNNNNNNNNNNNNNNNNNNNNNNNNNNNNNNNNNNNNNNNNNNNNNNNNNNNNNNNNNNNNNNNNNNNNNNNNNNNNNNNNNNNNNNNNNNNNNNNNNNNNNNNNNNNNNNNNNNNNNNNNNNNNNNNNNNNNNNNNNNNNNNNNNNNNNNNNNNNNNNNGUUUGAUGAUAUUUUAAAAAAAUUAUUACUGUCUUAUAAAAAAAAUAUUACUGUUAUGAUUUAAACAAGUUUGAACAUAUUUAAACACAAAUAAGUAUCAAACAGCAUUUUAAAUGAAAAAAAAUUGUGGAGUCUGGGAAUUGAACCCAGGACCUCCUGGUGCGAGAACUGGCUGCUGACCAGUCGAGCUAGUAGAGGGAGUUGAUGUGGAUCACGUCAGGUGGAAUAUAACCUGUUGGCUCGAGCAGAAAAAAAUACUAAUGGCGCACCAGGGUGAGGUGCGCCAUUAGUGUGGAUGUACUUAGUAUUGUGCCGCCCCCAUCCAUAGUUCCUCCCCGGCGCGGCCCACCUCUCUCCCUCGCCCUCGAUCCCCUCUCUCUCCCUCGCCCUCGCCCUCGAUCCCCUUCCCCGAGGCCGCUGCCCCGCCGCCUCGACGCCGCCCCGACGCCGCUGCCCCGCCGCCUCGACGCUGCCCCGCCGCCUCCGUCCCCCAUCGUCGCCGCCACUCGCUUCCCCCGCAGUGCACACAUCUUCCGCCGGAAGUUAUCGCCCUCCCUCUGCCGCCGGACGCCGCCCCUCCCCCGUUGUGCAGAGCNNNNNNNNNNNNNNNNNNNNNNNNNNNNNNNNNNNNNNNNNNNNNNNNNNNNNNNNNNNNNNNNNNNNNNNNNNNNNNNNNNNNNNNNNNNNNNNNNNNNNNNNNNNNNNAGCAUCCAGGCGAGACGCGGACACCCCCCCCCCUCCUCAUCUGGACACCGCCCUCCUCGACGACGACCCGCCUCUGCCUCCUCUUCAACGCCGGAGCUGCUGCCGACCUGCCUCCGCCUUGUCACCGGGCGGUGAGAUCCUCUUCUACUCUUGUGCGUGUGCUACCUGCUGCCGCUUGAGCCUUGAGCUACUGGUGUUGUGCUGCUGCUUGUGCUACUGUACUCUGUUGAACGGGUGGUUGUGCUAAUGCUAGUGGCUGGUGUUCUAAAAUAUUGUCGGUUUUUCAAUUGAAGCAUGUGUACACAUUGGUCAUUGCUAUGCGAAUUUGUCAAUUGAAGCAUGUGUGCACGGUGUGCAUUUCACCUGCCAAUUGGUAUGUGUGGAGAUAGUAUGCAUCGCUAUGUUGUCUGUCGAUAGUACACAAUGCAACUUUUAUCACAUCACACGAGUGAUACAGGUAUCAUGUCUUGAUAGGUAUCAUGACUCAAUACACCAGUCUGGCACAUAGGUGAAGUACAGAUGCAAGAACAUAAAUGCAUCUAUAGCUGGUUAAUAUCCCAGGUGUUCACUAAAUGCAAGUAGCAGCACUGAUGCGAAUGCGAUGUGCCGUGCUUCCCAAAUCCCAAGUGUUGGUUGGUAUCUCUUAUGUUUCGACAUGUGUCACAUCCUAGCUAGUUAUGCAUUAGAGUGUUGCAUCAUGUUUACUCUUUCAUCAGAAACUUGAAAUGGGGAUGACAGAACCCCCAGUCCCCUCUGAAACCAACUAGGGUUACUAAAAUAAUUUUUCAAUGAACCUGAAAUGCCCUUCUAAAAUGCCCAUCAUUUUUGUCUUGGUUCAGAACCUCUGCCAAAAAUGGUGCACAUUUUCCUAGGCCCUCCUAGGGUUUUUGAUUUAAAUCAUAACUAUUUGAAUUUGAGCAUUUAAAAUAAUAUAAAAUAAUUAAAUGCUCAAAUAUCUCCAAACUAAAAUGUUUCAUCUUGGAAAUAAUCCAACUAUGGGCCAGGAAUAGUUUGGUGAUUUUUGAAGUGGCCUAGGUAUUUUAUUUAAUUCAACAAAGUUGCAGAUAUAUUAAAUAAAAACAGAAAACAGAAAAGAGAGGGAAAGACUUACCUGUGCGGCCCAGCCAGCUGGCCGGCCCAGCCAGCAACCGACCCAGCCCAGCACUGUAGCUCCCCGUCGUCUUCCUCCCCUCGCCCCGAAGCUGCUGCGUGCUCGCGCGCGCACGGCCGCGCGGCCACCUCCUGCUUGCCGACGCCCUCCUGGCCGCGUGGACGACGCCCGCAGCUCGUCCCGAUCCCCCCUGCUCUCUCUCACUCUCCCCGGCUCUCUCCUUCCUCUCCCUCGCUCUCUCUCUCGCUCGGCCGAACACCACCGUCGCCGCCGAUCGCCAUAGCCACCAUCUCCGGCCACCCCUCGCUCCCCCGACCAGCUCAGGAGCUCCGCCUCGACUCCCUCUUCCUCCCCACCGCUCCACGGGUCUCCGGAAGCCCUGCAUCGCCGCCACGUCGCCGUUCCCCUCUUCGGACUCCGACCACCGUCGCCGUCAAAUUCGUCGUCUCCGGCGCGUCCCCGAGCCCGCUUCGACGCCCACUGCAACCGCGGUGAGCCCCCGGAGCGUUUCCCCCUUCUUCCCUGGUCUCUCCUGACCCCUAGGCCCUAGCUCCACCUCGAUCGAGAGCUCCACGCCGCCGGCGAUGUCGCCGUCGUGGCCACGGUCACCGUAGCACCCAACCGAGCUCACCAUCGUGCUCCACACAUCACCAGGAGCACGUAGAACGCACCAAUGCCUCCCCAAACCCCCUGCAACACUGAUCCCGACCGCACCCGAACUCCGGCCGCCGCAGCCGAGCUCGCCGCCGUCAACUCCGGCCACCCCGAGCCCAACCACCACCACCAAUAGACGCGGCUCAACCUCAGCAACACGUAGAUGCCCUCCGCCGUCCAUUUGGUCGCCGGAAUGGCAAAAAGCACUCUCGCCGCCGUCUCGGAUCUCGCCGGCGUCAUGUCGCCGGUGGGGUUUGACUUGACCGACCUGGGGUUUGACCCCCCCAGGGUCGCUGACGCGUGGGCCCUGUCGGCCAGAUGGUUAGGUUAGCGCUAACUACUGUUAGUCAACCCCCCCUGACACUGACAGUGGGCCGCAGCGCCACUAAUUAGUAAUUAGAAUUAAUUUAAAUCUGUUUAACCCCCCCUGUCACUGACGUGUGGCCCCCACACGUCAGGUUUGACUUCAGCCAGCCGCAGUUGACCUGCUGACGUCACACUGACGUCAGGCUGACGCAGUAAUUAAUUUUCUGGACUUAAAUUAAAUCAGGAAAUUCCAGAAUAUUAGUUAAACUUCAAAAAUUCAUAACUUUUAUUCUGUAACUCCAAAUUGGACAAAUUAUAUAUGAAAAAUGAUCAGAAAAAUCCAAUCUAUCCAUCUGUACCAUUUUCAUGCAUGAUCAAACAAGUUAAAUUGAUGUUUUAAUCAGAACAAGGAAAAGCACUUUAAAAGGCCAUAUUUGAAUUUGAAAUUUGAAUCUUUGAUUCAAAUUUGCUCAAACCCUUCUGGUUUUAGUUGCAUUAGCCCAACACACUCAUAUUGCCAUGUUUCAUGCAUGCAUCAUAUUGUUGCAUAUUGUUUGGUAAUGUUGUGUAUCGGUGCUCUCUGCGGCAGGUUCCGUCCCCGAAGAGUACCCUGAUUACCCUAGCGAAGAACCGUAUCCGUGCAACGAACCAUCAGGCAAGCAACCAACCAUUUGAUCAUAUCGAUACAAUCCCAUGUUCUCGCUCCUGCUCUCUUUUACUGCAUUAGGACAACGCGAUUCAAACUGCUGUGUGCUACGGUAGUUGAACCCAUUUCCUCUGCAUGACCUGUCAUUGCCACAGUAACUAGAUGAAACCCACUAGCAUGUGUAGGAGUUGAUUGAGCCAUAUGUAUGUGUUGUUCCUACCUUGCUAUGCCUGCUAUGCUUAGAGUCGUGUCAGGUCUGGUUCAUCUGGGUGAUGGGCUAGAGUGAAAUGAUUAUGUCGGUAAUGAGAGUGGUGUGGUGAACCCGAUUUGGUAAAGGUAUCGAUGAGAGGCCAUGUAGGAGUACAUGGUGGGUUGUUUCAUUGAAGCCGACCUUAAGCACUGAGAUCUGUAUGUGUGAUUUAAGAAUCAGCUACUACCAUACAUUGGGCCCUGAAAUAUGACCCCGCUCGACUUCUUAUUCACCCUAGCUCUCUGUCCAGGAGUUGCAAGUAGUUUCUGGUGUUUGUAGCCUACUGGAGGCCGUGGACAGCACUGACCGUAGGGGUGGGCUGUGAUGCGGUAGGUACGUGGCCGGGUGUACCGAAUACCCGUUAGGUAUCUCGGGAACCCUGUUCACAUCGUUCGGGGCCGUAUGGGAAACCUCGGCCGGACUCCCUGCGGAUGGAACCUGAAUAGGCGAUAAACCUGGACUAGAGGCUUAAGUGUUUAGGUAGGUCGUGGUCUACACCCACGUCGGCUUUCGCUUGAAGUCUGCCGAGCACAUGUCGUGUGCAGACGCUAAGUGGUGGAAACAUGUAUGAAGAAGUACACCCCUGCAGGGUUAACAUGAUCUAUUCGAAUAGCCGCGUCCGCGGUAAAGGACUACUUGGUUGCCUAUACAGUUCAUAGACAAGUAAAUGGAAAACUACUAAAAGCCUCAAGAUAAGUGUGAGUGCCGAGGAUGGCUCUUCCGUAGGAAGACGGAGGUGGAUCCUCGGUAGUGUAUUGAAGUGGUGAAUAGUGGACUCGUGUGCGCAAAACUAUUUCAAACUGGAGUAUCGUAGGAUAGUCUAGCCAAGAGUCAAAGCUGGCUUGCUGCAAUAACUCCACCAACCCUUCUUGAUACUAUGCAUGUAUGUAGGAUCUGAUGUAAGUCUUGCUGAGUACCUUUGUACUCAUGUUGCUAUAAUCUACAUUUUUACAGAAGACGCUGCAACCCCUUCUGAUGGGUUCUAUGUAGACGUUGACAUCAACGAGUAGGCUAAAAGACCCAGGUGGUGACCCUGAGCUUGUGAAGGACCACAUAGUAUAGCCAGGCUUUCCAAGCCUCUUUUAUUUUACUAGUUGUCUGUACUCAGACAAGUUACUUCCGCUGUUGGCUGGUAUGAUUGUAUGACUUGUAUGUUGGGUCGUGAGACCCGUAUCUUUGUGUGUAUGUUAUGUAUGGCUCACUGAGCCUUAAAUAAAGUACUUGUGUCGUAGAGUCAUGUUGUGAUGCUUCGUUGUAUUUGCACAUAUCGAGCAUAUUGUGUGUAUGAUUGAAAUGCUUGGUAUGUGUGGGAUCUGACUAUCUAGUUGUUUAUCUUUAGUAGCCUCUCUUACCGGGAAAUGUCUCCUAGUGUUACCGCUGAGCCAUGGUAGCUUGCUACUGCUCUGGAACACUUAGGCUGGCCGGCAUGUGUCCUUCUUCGUUCCUGUGUCUGUCCCUUCGGGGAAAUGUCACGCUUUGAGUACCGGAGUCCUGUUAGCCCGCUACAGCCCGGUUUACCGGAGUCCUGCUAGCCCAGUGCUACAGCCCGGACCCACUUGCUGAUGACCGACACGUUCGAAGAUGGGUCAUGGAUGCCUGUCCCUGUAAGUCUGUGCCACUUUGGGUUUACGACUAGUCAUGUCAGCCCGGGCUCUUUAUCAUAUGGAUGCUAGCGACACUAUCAUAUACGUGAGCCAAAAGGCGCAAACGGUCCCGGGAAAAGGUAAGACGACACCCGUGGGGAUACCGUGCGUGAGGCCGCAAAGUGAUAUGAGGUGUUACCAGCUAGAUCGAUGUGACAUCGAGUCGGGGUCCUGACAGCGUUGGCAUCAGAGCCGGACUGCCUGUAGGUUCUCCAAGCCAAACUGGUCGAUGUUGAGUCUAGAAAUUCUUUAGUUAUAUGUAGGGGAAUUGUUUGUGGGUUGGAACGUAAGGCUCUUUUUACUCCUUAUACCUUAUGACUUUCUGAUCUGAGUCGGUCCAUUCUUCCACCGGGGGUUAAGGAAUUAGGAUCUGUUCUCUCUAUCAGGAUCACAUGUUACUAAUCAGUAGUACCUUAUAAGUUUGAUGGUUACAAGCCUAGUUCAGUUCUACUACCACAUUAUGUUGUUAGAAUGGUUCCAGAACUUUGAUGUGAUGAUGUUGAGUGUGUACGAAAUCCUUUGUCAAAUGUCUCAAUGUCCUUUUUGAGCAUUUACAGCUGUUAUGCUGCCGAAAUUUUGCUAGAAAUUCUAAUGCCUUUGCAUUAUGAUUAUGCUUUCAGAUGGCCACUCGCGACCUUAAUCAAGUGGUUCGCCUGACUCGAUGCCUAGAUGUACCCGGCCAUACUGCUAAGUUGGUCAGGGUAAUGACUGAGGCUGGAUAUCGCCGGUAUCCUGAGUACACGGUCGAAGAGCAAUUCCGAGACUUUAACCAAAGCCAGUAUCUCUGCACUGUCAGGAUAUUUCCAUCUUAUCCUAGAUCCACUGAGCCUCUUCACUGCUCCUAUGGACUCGGGGUUACUAUUGAGAUGGCUGUGCAGGAUGCCGCCUACUCUAUGAUGACCAUUAUGCGAGUCAGAUCUGGUCUAUUUCGGGACUCUGACUUCCGGUAUAUGCCAGGAUCACUUCCGGGAGCACAAGGGUAUCUCCAGGCUAUCUAUGCUGACUCCACUCAGGAGGAUUCACGGACUCGCACCACUGCUGAGAUGCUCGAGGAUAAGGACCGUGAAAAUCGGGCCUUAAGGUUAGAGCUCUUCAAUACCCGUGCUGACCACUGGGCUACUUUGACUCGGUUCGCACCGGCGGUGCAAGCUGGAUAUUCGGAUAUGCGCGAUCUCUAUCCUGUGAGGUCUGCUCUGCCAGACGUGAUGGUUUGGCGUGAUGUAGGAGGCAUCACCCCACCUCGCGGUCCCCGCAGGCCACCGUUUGUUGGUCCAAGGCCUCAUCCUAGCCCCUAUGGUCCACAAGCUCCGCGAGAUCGUCUGUUUCCGGAUGAACAUGUUGAGCUUCCAGGCUAUGGAGGUGACUUUUAUGAGGACUACUACGGAUCGGUCUGAGUUAGGGGUAGCAUCACUAGUUCGCACUAGCUGUGUCAUCUAUCGUUCCGCGUGACUCGUGGGAUAUGACCUAGUUGUACUUCUUCCGGAGGUGUAGAAAAAUAAUGUAUAGGAGCUUGGAAUGCCUCCGAUGAGAUGUAAUCCUUUUCUCACCGUAAUAGUACUUUGUUUGGUCUUGUACUAAACCUUGUAUGGUGUGUAUGACGAUGGAAUAAAGAAGCAGUUUCUGUAUCUACCAUGUCAUACGGAUGAUCAUCUUGCAUUCCGAGUUAUUUCUUACAUUAUGUAUCCCAUGUCGGAAUUUCAUCAUUCUGACUAAAUCAUUGUCUUGUUUACCUAGGAUGGUCAACACGCGCGCCAACCCUGCUUCCCAAGAGCAGGCCGAAGGCAGUGAAGCCAGGAAUGAAAAUCUGCCUCAUCCUCCUUCACUAGCCGAGGUGAUGAUGGAAGCUGAGAGAAACAAGCGGGAGACAAACCGUUUGUUGGAGCGUAUUGAACAGAAUACAGCACACCAUCAGAGGGCUAACGUGGUGUCACUCAGUGAUUUUAUCAAAUUGCAUCCACCCACGUUCCACCACUCCGUCGAGCCUCUCGACGCUGAUGACUGGCUUCGCAGUAUCUCUCACAAACUGCGUUCCGCGCUGGUAGCGGAGGCUGACAAGGUCACCUUUGCCGCAUAUCAUCUUGAAGGCCCCGCCAGUCUAUGGUGGGAGAAUUAUGGAGCCAUGCGCCCAGCGGGCCAUGUCACAACUUGGGCUGAAUUCAGCGAGGCUUUCCGCGAACAUCACAUUCCGGAGGGUCUCAUGGACCGUAAACGUAAAGAAUUUUGCAGUUUCACCCAAGGCCGACUUUCUGUGGAUGCCUAUAGCAGAGAGUUCGGUAAUCUCGCCCGAUAUGCAACUGAGGAAGUGUCUACUGACGCCAAGAAGCAAGCAAGGUUCCGUAAGGGCCUUAGUCCUGAGCUUCGCCGCGACCUCCGCCUGCAUGAGUGCACAUCUUUUUCGAAACUUGUCAACAAAGCCAUCAGUGCUGAAACUGGUCAGACUGACUAUGACGCAACACGCAAGCAUGGACGUGACAUGGGUUCCUCAUCCGGUGCUGGUCCUCAGAAGCGCCGCGUGUGGGUACCCAACGCUGCCUUGCCACCCAGGUUCACACCGAGGCCAUCUUUCCAGGCGCCUCGCCCCGCUCAACAGUCUGCUCCAGCCAAGCCCUAUGGGGGUCCAACCAGUAAUGCUCCUCCACGUACCAGUUCCGUGACUUGUUUCAAGUGUGGGGAAUCUGGUCAUUAUAUGCGUGAGUGUCCCCAGACCAACCCCAAUAAAUCUGCUAAAGCUGUUGGCCGUGGCAAGCCGACAGGAAAAGUGUUUCAUGCUAAACCGGUCACCGCUUCACGUGGCCAUGUCAACUGUAUCUCUGCCGAAGAAGCUCAAGAAGAUCCCAACGUCGUUCUCGGUAUGCUUCUUGUUAAUUGCCACCCGGCAUCUGUACUUUUCGAUACAGGAGCCUCUCAUUCUUUUAUAUCUGAAAAUUAUGCUCGUUUGCAUAACGUUGCAUUCUGUGACCUGCCAUCCUCCAUGGUAAUUCAAACUCCGGGGUCCAAAUGGCAAACUUCUAGAGUAAGCCAUGGAAAUGAAAUCCAAGUCGAUAGACUUGUUUUUCUCGCAUCUUUGAUAGCCCUUAAAUCUUCAGAUAUUAAUAUCAUUUUGGGUAUGGACUGGAUGUCAGCUCAUCAAGCCAAAAUUGAUUACUUCUCUAGGACUGUUCAACUCACCCAUCCUUCGGGAAAGAUAGUCAAUGUCUUGACCCGAAUAGCCAAGCGACAAUUAUAUUCUCUUAACGCCAGCCCUUUGCCAGACCUUGAGGACGUUCCGGUAGUCCGUGACUUCCCGGAUGUCUUUCCAGAGGAAUUGCCAGGUGUUCCACCUGACAGGGAUGUUGAGUUCGUAAUAGACCUCAUUCCAGGAACCGUUCCGAUUGCUAGAAGACCCUACAAGAUGGCACCCCUAGAACUAGCCGAGCUUAAGAAACAACUCGAUGAAUCCUUGAAAAAGGGUUUCAUCCGCCCUAGUUCAUCUCCGUGGGCUUGCCCCGUCCUAUUCGUUAAGAAAAAGGAUGGUACGGACCGGAUGGUUGUAGAUUACCGACCUGUUAAUUUGGUCACAAUCAAGAACAAAUAUCCACUUCCCAGGAUCAACGACCUGUAUGAUCAGCUCGCUGGAUCCUCAGUCUUCUCCAAGAUGGAUUUGAGGUUGGGAUACCAUCAAAUCAAAAUCAGAAACGGGGACAUUCCUAAGACGGCCUUUGUUACCCGUUAUGGCCAAUACGAGUACACCGUCAUGUCCUUCGGUUUAACCAACGCUCCAGCCACCUUUUCUCGGUUAAUGAACUCAAUCUUCAUGGAGUAUUUGGAUAAAUUCGUCGUAGUUUAUCUCGAUGAUAUACUCAUCUACUCCAAGAACGAGGAAGAACAUGCCGAACAUUUAAGGCUAGUGUUGAAGAAACUUCGAGAGCAUCGCCUUUAUGCCAAAUUUUCAAAAUGUGAAUUCUGGUUGUCAGAAGUGACCUAUCUGGGCCAUGUAAUAUCUGGUAAAGGUAUUGCUGUUAACCCUGAGCGAGUUCAAGCCGUCCUUGAUUGGACACCACCUGAAUCGGUCAAGCAAGUUCGGAGUUUUCUGGGCUUAGCGAGCUAUUGUCGUCGCUUUGUCGAGAACUUCUCCAAAGUUGCCAAACCUCUAACCGAACUCCUCAAGAAAGAUAAGAAGUUCGAAUGGACUCCACAAUGUGAGCACAGCUUUCAGGAACUGAAAAGACGCCUGACUUCUGCUCCCGUGCUGGUACCGCCAGACUUCUCCAAGGACUUUGUUAUCUACUGUGACGCCUUGCGACAAGGACUAGGUUGCAUUCUCAUGCAAGAUCGACACGUAAUUGCUUACGCUUCACGGCAAUUGCACCCACAUGAGGAGAAUUAUCCUACUCAUGAUCUAGAACUUGCAGCCGUAGUCUAUGCACUUAAGACCUGGCGACAUUACCUCCUCGGUAAUCGUUGCGAAAUAUUCACUGAUCACCAAAGUCUGAAGUACAUCUUCACCCAACCGGAUCUGAAUCUCAGGCAAAGACGUUGGGUUGAAUUGAUCACAGACUUCGACUUAGGGAUAACCUAUACCCCAGGGAAAGCCAACGUCAUGGCUGAUGCGUUAAGUCGUAAAUCUUAUUGUAACAACCUGAUGUUACAACAAAGUCAACCGCUUCUCCAUGAUGAAUUUCGGAAGCUUAACCUUCACAUUGUACCUCAAGGUUUUCUCUCCACCUUGGUAGCAAAACCUACUCUUACGGAUCAAAUCAUCGCUGCCCAAAAGCGAGAUAAGGGAAUAUCUAAAAUCAAAGAGAACAUUGCUAGCGGAGGUGCUAGUUGUUUCUCCACAAAUGAUCAUGGUGUUGUAUACUUUGAGAACCGUCUAGUGGUUCCCAAGAACCAGCAUCUAUGGCAGUUGAUCCUUAAGGAGGCUCAUGAAUCUCCUCUCACCAUUCAUCCCGGUAGUACUAAAAUGUAUCAGGACCUACGCCAGAGGUUCUGGUGGACUAGGAUGAAGAGAGAAAUUGCUCAGUAUAUUGCAAAUUGCGACGUCUAUCGUCGUGUAAAAGCAGAGCAUCAACGGCCUGCUGGCACCCUUCAACCCUUAGCUAUUCCUGAAUGGAAAUGGGAUAAAAUUGGUAUGGAUUUCAUUACCGGUUUUCCCAGGACCAAAAGAGGGAAUAAUGCUAUUUUCGUCGUGGUCGAUCGUCUUUCCAAAAUAGCUCAUUUCUUACCCGUUCGUGAGAGUAUAACCGCUAGUCAGCUGGCAGACUUGUACAUCUCCCGAAUAGUGUCCCUCCAUGGUGUUCCUUUGGAAAUUAACUCGGAUCGAGGAAGUCUUUUCACCUCUCGAUUUUGGGAAAGUUUCCAAAAUGCUAUGGGAACUCGUCUCUCCUUUAGCACCGCUUUCCACCCUCAGUCAAGUGGUCAAGUGGAACGCGUCAAUCAGAUUCUAGAAGACAUGCUUCGAGCCUCUAUUAUCUCGUUCGGAAUGGACUGGGAGAAGUGCCUUCCAUUUGCCGAAUUCGCUUACAACAACAGCUAUCAAUCUAGCUUGGGUAAAGCCCCUUUUGAAGUUCUCUAUGGACGACGAUGUCGAACACCCCUUAACUGGUCAGAGACCGGGGAAAGACAAUUCUUUGGCCCGGAUAUGAUUCAGGAAGCAGAAGAACAGGUUCGUAUCGUUCGUGAAAAGUUGAAAACAGCCCAAUCCCGUCAAAAGAGUCAAUAUGACCGAAAACAUAAGGCUAUGACUUUCGAGGUUGACGAGAAGGCUUACCUUCGGGUCACCCCUCUGAAGGGAACCCAUCUUUUCGGUAUCAAAGGCAAAUUGGCUCCUCGUUACAUUGGACCUUUUCGCAUUCUUGCCAAACGAGGAGAAGUUGCCUAUCAACUGGAACUACCUCCGCACCUCUCCAGAGUUCACGAUGUCUUCCACGUCUCUCAACUCAGGCGUUGCUUCUCGGAUCCUAUCCGUGAAGUGGACCACGAAACGCUUGAUCUCCAAGAUGAUCUUACAUAUCGAGAGUACCCCAUUCGUAUCCUCGAUCAGGCCGAGCGUACCACCCGACGUCAUAACAUCAAGUUUCUCAAAGUUCAAUGGUCGCACCAUUCUGAAGAUGAAGCAACUUGGGAAAGGGAGGAUCGUCUUCGACUUGAAUAUCCCGCUUUCUUCUCGGAGGAACCCAAAUCUCGGGACGAGAUUCUUUUGAGUGGGGGUGAGUUGUCACAUCCUAGCUAGUUAUGCAUUAGAGUGUUGCAUCAUGUUUACUCUUUCAUCAGAAACUUGAAAUGGGGAUGACAGAACCCCCAGUCCCCUCUGAAACCAACUAGGGUUACUAAAAUAAUUUUUCAAUGAACCUGAAAUGCCCUUCUAAAAUGCCCAUCAUUUUUGUCUUGGUUCAGAACCUCUGCCAAAAAUGGUGCACAUUUUCCUAGGCCCUCCUAGGGUUUUUGAUUUAAAUCAUAACUAUUUGAAUUUGAGCAUUUAAAAUAAUAUAAAAUAAUUAAAUGCUCAAAUAUCUCCAAACUAAAAUGUUUCAUGUUGGAAAUAAUCCAACUAUGGGCCAGGAAUAGUUUGGUGAUUUUUGAAGUGGCCUAGGUAUUUUAUUUAAUUCAACAAAGUUGCAGAUAUAUUAAAUAAAAACAGAAAACAGAAAAGAGAGGGAAAGACUUACCUGUGCGGCCCAGCCAGCUGGCUGGCCCAGCCAGCAACCGACCCAGCCCAGCACUGUAGCUCCCCGUCGUCUUCCUCCCCUCGCCCCGAAGCUGCUGCGUGCUCGCGCGCGCACGGCCGCGCGGCCACCUCCUGCUUGCCGAUGCCCUCCUGGCCGCGUGGACGACGCCCGCAGCCCGUCCCGAUCCCCCCUGCUCUCUCUCACUCUCCCCGGCUCUCUCCUUCCUCUCCCUCGCUCUCUCUCUCGCUCGGCCGAACACCACCGUCGCCGCCGAUCGCCAUAGCCACCAUCUCCGGCCACCCCUCGCUCCCCCGACCAGCUCAGGAGCUCCGCCUCGACUCCCUCUUCCUCCCCACCGCUCCACGGGUCUUCGGAAGCCCUGCAUCGCCGCCACGUCGCCGUUCCCCUCUUCGGACUCCGACCACCGUCGCCGUCAAAUUCGUCGUCUCCGGCGCGUCCCCGAGCCCGCUUCGACGCCCACUGCAACCGCGGUGAGCCCCCGGAGCGUUUCCCCCUUCUUCCCUGGUCUCUCCCGACCCCUAGGCCCUAGCUCCACCUCGACCGAGAGCUCCACGCCGCCGGCGAUGUCGCCGUCGUGGCCACGGUCGCCGUAGCACCCAACCGAGCUCACCAUCGUGCUCCACACAUCACCAGGAGCACGUAGAACGCACCAACGCCUCCCCAAACCCCCUGCAACACUGAUCCCGACCGCACCCGAACUCCGGCCGCCGCAGCCGAGCUCGCCGCCGUCAACUCCGGCCACCCCGAGCCCAACCACCACCACCAAUAGACGCGGCUCAACCUCAGCAACACGUAGAUGCCCUCCGCCGUCCAUUUGGUCGCCGGAAUGGCAAAAAGCACUCUCGCCGCCGUCUCGGAUCUCGCCGGCGUCAUGUCGCCGGUGGGGUUUGACUUGACCGACCUGGGGUUUGACCCCCCCAGGGUCGCUGACGCGUGGGCCCUGUCGGCCAGAUGGUUAGGUUAGCGCUAACUACUGUUAGUCAACCCCCCCUGACACUGACAGUGGGCCCCAGCGCCACUAAUUAGUAAUUAGAAUUAAUUUAAAUCUGUUUAACCCCCCCUGUCACUGACGUGUGGCCCCCACACGUCAGGUUUGACUUCAGCCAGCCGCAGUUGACCUGCUGACGUCACACUGACGUCAGGCUGACGCAGUAAUUAAUUUUCUGGAUUUAAAUUAAAUCAGGAAAUUCCAGAAUAUUAGUUAAACUUCAAAAAUUCAUAACUUUUAUUCUGUAACUCCAAAUUGGACAAAUUAUAUAUGAAAAAUGAUCAGAAAAAUCCAAUCUAUCCAUCUGUACCAUUUUCAUGCAUGAUCAAACAAGUUAAAUUGAUGUUUUAAUCAGAACAAGGAAAAGCACUUUAAAAGGCCAUAUUUGAAUUUGAAAUUUGAAUCUUUGAUUCAAAUUUGCUCAAACCCUUCUGGUUUUAGUUGCAUUAGCCCAACACACUCAUAUUGCCAUGUUUCAUGCAUGAAUCAUAUUGUUGCAUAUUGUUUGGUAAUGUUGUGUAUCGGUGCUCUCUGCGGCAGGUUCCGUCCCCGAAGAGUACCCUGAUUACCCUAGCGAAGAACCGUAUCCGUGCAACGAACCAUCAGGCAAGCAACCAACCAUUUGAUCAUAUCGAUACAAUCCCAUGUUCUCGCUCCUGCUCUCUUUUACUGCAUUAGGACAACGCGAUUCAAACUGUUGUGUGCUACGGUAGUUGAACCCAUUUCCUCUGCAUGACCUGUCAUUGCCACAGUAACUAGAUGAAACCCACUAGCAUGUGUAGGAGUUGAUUGAGCCAUAUGUAUGUGUUGUUCCUACCUUGCUAUGCCUGCUAUGCUUAGAGUCGUGUCAGGUCUGGUUCAUCUGGGUGAUGGGCUAGAGUGAAAUGAUUAUGUCGGUAAUGAGAGUGGUGUGGUGAACCCGAUUUGGUAAAGGUAUCGAUGAGAGGCCAUGUAGGAGUACAUGGUGGGUUGUUUCAUUGAAGCCGACCUUAAGCACUGAGAUCUGUAUGUGUGAUUUAAGAAUCAGCUACUACCAUACAUUGGGCCCUGAAAUAUGACCCUGCUCGACUUCUUAUUCACCCUAGCUCUCUGUCCAGGAGUUGCAAGUAGUUUCUGGUGUUUGUAGCCUACUGGAGGCCGUGGACAGCGCUGACCGUAGGGGUGGGCUGUGAUGCGGUAGGUACGUGGCACGGUGUACCGAAUACCCGUUAGGUAUCUCGGGAACCCUGUUCACAUCGUUCGGGGCUGUAUGGGAAACCUCGGCCGGACUCCCUGCGGAUGGAACCUGAAUAGGCGAUAAACCUGGACUAGAGGCUUAAGUGUUUAGGUAGGUCGUGGUCUACACCCACGUCGGCUUUCGCUUGAAGUCUGUCGAGCACAUGUCGUGUGCAGACGCUAAGUGGGGGAAACAUGUAUGAAGAAGUACACCCCUGCAGGGUUAACAUGAUCUAUUUGAAUAGCCGCGUCCGCGGUAAAGGACUACUUGGUUGCCUAUACAGUUCAUAGACAAGUAAAUGGAAACUAUUAAAAGCCUCAAGAUAAGUGUGAGUGCCGAGGAUGGCUCUUCCAUAGGAAGACGGAGGUGGAUCCUCGGUAGUGUAUUGAAGUGGUGAGUAGUGGACUCGUGUGCGCAAAACAUUUCAAGUUGGAGUAUCGUAGGAUAGUCUAGCCAAGAGUCAAAGCUAGCUUGCUGCAAUAACUCCACCAACCCUUCCUUGAUACUAUGCAUGUAUGUAGGAUCUGAUGUAAGUCUUGCUGAGUACUUUUGUACUCAUGUUGCUAUAAUCUACAUUUUUACAGAAGACGCUGCAACCCCUUCUGAUGGGUUCUAUGUAGACGUUGACAUCAACGAGUAGGCUAAGGACCCAGGUGGUGACCCUGAGCUUGUGAUGGACCACGUAGUACAGUUAGGCUUCCAAGCCUCUUUUAUUUUACUAGUUGUCUGUACCCAGACAAAGUACUUCCGCUGUUGGCUUGUAUGACUGUAUGACUUGUAUGUUGGGUCGUGAGACCCGUACCUUUGUGUAUGAUAUGUAUGGCUCCCUGAGCCUUAAAUAAAGUACUUGUGUCGUAGAGUCAUGUUGUGAUGCUUCGUUGUAUUUGCACAUAUCGAGCAUAUUGUGUGUAUGAUUGAAAUGCUUGGUAUGUGUGGGAUCUGACUAUCUAGUUGUUUAUCUUUAGUAGCCUCUCUUACCGGGAAAUGUCUCCUAGUGUUACCGCUGAGCCAUGGUAGCUUGCUACUGCUCUGGAACACUUAGGUUGGCCGGCAUGUGUCCUUCUUCGUUCCUGUGUCUGUCCCUUCGGGGAAAUGUCACGCAUUGAGUACCGGAGUCCUGUUAGCCCGCUACAGCCCGGUUUACCGGAGUCCUGCUAGCCCAGUGCUACAGCCCGGACCCACUUGCUGAUGACCGACACGUUCGAAGCUGGGUCAUGGAUGCCUGUCCCUGUAAGUCUGUGCCACUUUGGGUUUACGACUAGUCAUGUCAGCCCGGGCUCCUUAUCAUAUGGAUGCUAGCGACACUAUCAUAUACGUGAGCCAAAAGGCGCAAACGGUCCCGGGCAAAGGUAAGGCGACACCCGUGGGGAUACCGUGCGUGAGGCCGCAAAGUGAUAUGAGGUGUUACCGGCUAGAUCGAUGUGACAUCGAGUCGGGGUCCUGACAGCGUUGGUAUCAAUAGGCGAUAAACCUGGACUGGAGGCUUAGGUGAUUAGGUAGGUCGUGGCCGACACCCACGUUGGGCUUCCGCUUGAAGGAUGCCGAGUACAUGUCGUGUAAACGACGGUAAGUGGUGAGAGCGUGUAUGAAGAAGUACCCCCUGCAGGGUUAACAUGAUCUAUUCGAAUAGCCGCGUCCGCGGUAAAGGACUACUUGGUUGCCUAUACAGUUCAUAGACAAGUAAAUGGAAACUAUUAAAAGCCUCAAGCUAAGUGUGAGUGCCGAGGAUGGCUCUUCCGUAGGAAGACGGAGGUGGAUCCUCGGUAGUGUAUUGAAGUGGUGAGUAGUGGACUCGUGUGCGCAAAACUAUUUCAAGUUGGAGUAUCGUAGGAUAGUCUAGCCAAGAGUCAAAGCUGGCUUGCUGCAAUAACUCCACCAACCCUUCUUGAUACUAUGCAUGUAUGUAGGAUCUGAUGUAAGUCUUGCUGAGUACCUUUGUACUCAUGUUGCUAUAAUCUACAUUUUUACAGAAGACGCUGCAACCCCUUCUGAUGGGUUCUAUGUAGACGUUGACAUCAACGAGUAGGCUAAAGACCCAGGUGGUGACCCUGAGCUUGUGAAGGACCACGUAGUAUAGUUAGGCUUCCAAGCCUCUUUUAUUUUACUAGUUGUCUGUACCCAGACAAAGUACUUCCGCUGUUGGCUUGUAUGAUGGUAUGACUUGUAUGUUGGGUCGUGAGACCCGUACCUUUGUGUGUAUGUUAUGUAUGGCUCCCUGAGCCUUAAAUAAAGUACUUGUGUCAUAGAGUCAUGUUGUGAUGCUUCGUUGUAUUUGCACAUAUCGAGCAUAUUGUGUGUAUGAUUGAAAUGCUUGGUAUGUGUGGGAUCUGACUAUCUAGUUGUUUAUCUUUAGUAGCCUCUCUUACCGGGAAAUGUCUCCUAGUGUUACCGCUGAGCCAUGGUAGCUUGCUACUGCUCUGGAACACUUAGGCUGGCCGGCAUGUGUCCUUCUUCGUUCCUGUGUCUGUCCCUUCGGGGAAAUGUCACGCUUUGAGUACCGGAGUCCUGUUAGCCCGCUACAGCCCGGUUUACCAGAGUCCUGCUAGCCCAGUGCUACAGCCCGGACCCACUUGCUGAUGACCGACACGUUCGAAGCUGGGUCAUGGAUGCCUGUCCCUGUAAGUCUGUGCCACUUUGGGUUUACGACUAGUCAUGUCAGCCCGGGCUCUUUAUCAUAUGGAUGCUAGCGACACUAUCAUAUACGUGAUCCAAAAGGCGCAAACGGUCCCGGGAAAAGGUAAGACGACACCCGUGGGGAUACCGUGCGUGAGGCCGCAAAGUGAUAUGAGGUGUUACCAGCUAGAUCGAUGUGACAUCGAGUCGGGGUCCUGACAACAUGCCUGACUCAUCAAUAUGCAUUGUAGCUGUGAAAGUGCUCGGUUUAUGAUUUCUUGAUGCAAUGCCUUUGAGUCUGGCUGUUCAAUUCAGAAUUUAUGUGAACACCUGAAAUGAUAGAUAGAGUAGGAAACUGCGGCUACCAAACAUAUGUUAUAUACUCCAAGAUUUAUUGAAGUUGUUAUCUUGUGUUUUCCUAGCAUCUCCCAGCCAAUGCAGCAUGUGAACAAUAAUUGAAUGUUUUGCUCAGGCUUCAGUUCUUAUGCCAUUUUUUCUUCAGAAGGCUACACCAUGGGGCUCAUCUUCAAGAGACAAUCUACCUGACCUGCUUGCUGCAACCACUCAGGUGAGUUUCUUUGCCCCACUCAAGUCCAGAGGCCCUCCAUAUGUGUGGAUGUCAUGAAUAUGUAGAGAUGCCUCCUUAUGUUUGGCACUCAUUUUUUAUAUUGUCUGAUUUGGUUGGUUACUAGGAUUCUUGCUCCCAACGACUCAGCUUCCAGCAGCGACGCAGCGAUCCCCUUUCCGUGCUUGUCACUGCAUCCUCCACCAGUUGGUGAGUCGACCACAACUUUGAUCUGUUCUAUUUAUGGCGGUAUCUAUCUUUAUUAUGUGUACUACCAUUGAAUUGGUUCUAUGAUUCUUCCUUUCUUUAGAUCUAUUUACGACAUAGCUUAACAAUUUGUAGUCGGUAGAUAUAACUAUGCAAAUGGUAUAACUGGGCUUGAUACUCGAACCAACAAACAACCACCUACUGGCAAAACACAAGUAGAUAGAUUUAGCAGGGCAAAGGGUAUCAUUUUCAUACCAUACUUCGUAGCAUUCUUCUUUAACAACAUUUAGCUGUGCCCUGUGCACCACGUUGAUCACAUGUUAAACAGGACUAAUAACUGGUUCAUGAGCAAGUUAACAUGCUUGCAUACCGUCUAUGUCACGAGUGAAAACUGAGCUCAAAUUCUAUAUUUCUAUUGACUGGGCACAGGUUUUGAGCAAGACAAAAAAGAAAACUGAGUGUUUCGCUGCAACUCAAGUUCCCAGCAGAGCUUAUCCAUCUGAAUCUAGUUGUAACAGAAUGAAUGCAAAUAUUAUUCAAGACUAGGGAGAGUAAGAUGGCAUAUUAACAAAAUAUUCCAGACUCUUUGCAUAAUGUGCCUGCUAAAUAGUCAAACCAGAAAUACUUCCCACAGCAUGUCUGCUUAAUAGCUAGUAGCAUGAUGGCUGGACUUGCUAACUUGCAAUUGCUCUGCAUCUAAUUUGAAACAUCAAUGAAAAUUGAAAAAAAAUUACUCUUAAUUUGCUCUUAAUUUUGUGGUUUGCAAGCUAGACUUUGCUCUUAAUUUUGUGAAUGCUACUUCUGGCGUUCUUACUUCAGCAUCUGUAUGCCCAUGCAAUGAUUUGCUUUGUUGUGAUGGAGGCUUUUUUUGCCUUGUCCACCCGAGAGGCCCUUGAGUUUGCUGGAAUGUCGAUUAACUUCCGUUCCAGCAAAUUCGGCUACUCCAUAUGUCCUAUUUUCAACAAAGAUCAUGCUGAAAUUUUCCGUGAAUUUUAGCAUGACUUUGCUAAAAAUAGGACAUAUGGGGUACUUGUGACUAAUGAUGAAAGCUUAGGCUUUUAGGGUGCCUCGGCGUCGAAAAAACCUCAAUGACAAAAGCUUAGCUUUUAGGAUGCCUCGGUGUCGACAAACCGUAAACAAUAACCAACUUUUUGACCAAACUUUGUUCCUAUUUAGAGAGAAACAUGGCCAACAACGAUGAGGCCGGGGGUUCGGGCGGCAAGGCAUUCUGGGAGCUGUCCCAGGAGAUGCAGGACCAACCUUAGUUGUAUGAGGACGCCGCCUUCCCCACCGAUCCUGAGACCAUUGAUGGUACCGCCGAGGAUGACCCCACUGAUGCCACCACUGAUGGCGCCGCCGAGGAUGCCACCACUGAUGAUGGCGGCGCACGCACAGAUGGCAGCCAACCGAAGAGGCAAUGGAAGGAUCGGCGCCCGAUCGUGCUCCUCACCCUCAAGGAGGAAGUUACUGAAGUGGACUCCAACGGGAAUCCAACGGCGCCCAAACGAAUAGUCAAGGGGUACUCGCUUCAGCUCGGGUGCAUUCUCCGGAGCACCGUCUCGAUCAACACCGAGAACCUGAGGCAUCCUGACCGAGGGAAUUUGCGCAACCUCCUCUUCACGAAGCUGCACGAACGAUACAAGUUCCCCGCUGAAUUUGCAAACACAAGCCUCAAAGGGAAUAAAGUGAACAAUGCUGCCCUCACGAAGAUGAGCAAGGCCCUGUCUACUUGGAAAAGCAAUGUGAAGAGAAUGAUCGAGAAAGGUGAGAGUUAUCAGAAGAUCAAGGAGAAAAAUCCUUCGAUCACCGAAGAUGACUACAACGACUUCAAGAUCAAUAGCUCGAGCACCGCUGUCACGCCCAAUAUGCGACCCUAUCCAAAAGGAACUCGAAGGUCCCACCAAGGAUAGACCCGCAUAUUGAAACGCUUUUGCAAGGUGGAUAUCAUUACAUCAACAUUACAUAAUAGAUGGGGAUACAUACAAAAGGCAUACAAUGCCACAUGAAUACAACAUCACAAUACAUCAGAGCACCAUCCGACUACGGAUGAAACACAAACAGAAACUCAAACGACAUCCACCCUGCUAGCCCAGGCUGCCGACCUGGAACCUAUCCCCUGAUCGAGGAAGAAGCAGAAGAAGAACUCCAAAACAAGGAACAUCGCUCUCGCGUCAAGAUCAUCGCAUAACCUGUACCUGCAACUGUUGUUGUAGUAAUCUGUGAGCCACGAGGACUCAGCAAUCCCAUUACCAUGGGUAUCAAGACUAGCAAAGCUUAAUGGGAAAGGAAGGGGUAAAGUGGUGAGGUUGCAGCAGCGACUAAGCAAGCAUGGUGGCUAACAUACGCAAAUAAGAGCGAGAAGAGAAGCAAAGGAACGGUCGUCAAGCUAGCAAUGAUCAAGAGGUGAUCCUGAACACCUACUUACGUCAAACAUAACACAGGAACCGUGUUCACUUCCCGGACUCCGCCGAGAAGAGACCAUCACGGCUACACACGCGGUUGAUGCGUUUUAAUUCGGAUCAGGUGUAAGUUGUCUACAACCGGACAUUAACAAAUUCCCAUCUGCCACAUAAACGCGGGCACGGCUCUCGAAAGUUUAUACCCUGCAGGGGUGUCCCAACUUAGCCCAUGACAAGCUCUCGCGAUCAACGAAGGAAUAGACCUUCUCCCAGGAAGACCCGAUCAGUCUCGGAAUCCCGGUUUACAAGACAUUUCGACAAUGGUAAAACAAGACCAGCAAAGCCGCCCGAUGCGCCGACAAUCCCGAUAGGAGCUGCACAUAUCUCGUUCUCAGGGCAACACCGGAUAAGUCAAGCUACGAGUAAAACCAGACUUCGAGUUUCCCCGAGGUGGCCCCGCAGGCUGCUCAGUUCAGACCAACACUUAGACAAGCACUGGCCCGGGGGGGCUAUAAUAAAGAUGACCCUUGGGUUAAUUACUCCCAAGGGAAAUGGUAGGUGGUGGUGAGGCAAAUGGUAAAACCAAGGUUGGGCCUUGCUGGACAAGUUUUAUUCAAAGCGAACUGUCAGGGGGGGUCCCAUAAAUCACCCGACCGCAUAAGGAACGCAAAAUCCGGGAACAUAACACCGGUAUGACGGAAACUAGGGCGGCAAGAGUGGAACAAAACACCAGUCAUAAGGCCGAGCCUUCCACCCUUUACCAAAUAUAUAGAUGCAUUAAUAAUAUAAGAGAUAUUGUGAUAUCCCAACAUAACCCUGUUCACCAUGGAGCAAUCUUCAACUUCACCUGCAACUAGCAACGCUAUAAGAGGGGCUGAGCAAAGCGGUAACAUAGCCAAUCAAUGGUUUGCUAGGAAGGGUGUCAAAGGUUAGAGGUUCAUGGCAAUUUGGGAGGCUUGAAGAGCAAAUGAUAGGUAACGCAUCAUAGCGAUAGAACGAAGCAACUAGCAUAGCAAUGAUAGUAGUGAGAUCCAAGGUGACAGUCAUCUUGCCUGAAAUCCCGCAAGGAAGAAGAACGAGUCCAUGAAGAAGAUGAAGCCAUGAAGACGAACCAAGCGUAGACGAACGAAUCCUCACGAUCGCAACGAAACGGGAACUAUCGAGAAGAAGCACACAACAUGGUAAACACACCACACAUGAACAAGACGUGAUGCACAAAAAGCAUGAGGCAUGACAAAGCUACAUGAAGCUACUCAUGGCAAGAUAUGAUGCAAACAAGAACAACACGUCAAGGCAAGUUUAAAUGAGGCCGGGAACAACAUAUAACAAUUCCGGUAAGUCCUCAUAUGCAAAUUUCGAAAUUGGUCCAGAUCUGAAUAAACAUUAAGUUGAAGUUGUUAAACAGCAAGUUAAAGAGCACAAAGAGGAACUACACGAAAUUCUAGUCAAGUUACAUAUAAAGUUCAUUUAAUUCGGAGCUACGGCCUAGAAGAUAUGAGCAAAACAAGUUAAGCAUGGCAUUGAUGCAAAAUGCAUACAAACAUCAAGAAAACACCUCAAAAUAAGGAUGCAACAUGAUAAUAUGAAACUACAUGCAAAAUCAAUCAAGUUACAUAUAGAGCACACUCAAAACGGAGCAACGGUGCAACACAUACACUCUAUACAAGUCAUAACAACAAUCUGCCCAAAACAGCAACUAGGCAUCUUGCAAGCAUCAAAACAACAUGCUACAGCACCCCAACAUAAUAACAAAAGGCAUGGGCAUAAAGUAAAGGUAAAGCAUAACAAAACAUGAACACUGAGCUAACUCCAGAAAUCACUAGAACAUGCUCAAAAACACAUGGUAAGAUUGCAAAUAAUAACAGUUUCAGACUUAUCAGGAAAUAAUAUCAGGUUGCAAUGUUUAGAGCUAUAAAACAACAAGCUAAAGGAACUUAUAAUGGCAAACAAAGGCAUGGCAUGAUACUACUAAAUGCAUAGAUCAAAAGUCCCUUACUGACCAUGAGCCAAAAAGGCACAGAAAAUAUGAUGGCACCCAUGUAAACAUGGCAAGUUAUAUUACAGAUUCAUACAUGGCAGGAACAACAAUAAGUAGGCAUGUUGGUGAGCUUGAACCACUCACCACAGAGCAAUACAUGGCAUGGCAAGGCAACCAACAGUAAGAAGGCAUGUUUAUGAAGCUAAGCAUGGCAAGAACAAGUUCAUAGGGGGCAUGGAUCACUAGAAAAGCACAUGGCCAAAACUGAACUUAAUGUUAACAGGUUGACAGCAACAUUAUUUAGCAACUUUGGAGCAAGAUUACAACAUGCUACAGCAAGCUAUAAAUGCAACCAGGGGCAUGAAUGGAUAGAGCAAGACAUGUAUAACAACUCAUCCUUAGUGAACAUCUCCAGAAUAAUGCACGACAUGACUUGUAGCAGCAGGUUUACAUAGCAACAAAAUAUAACAGAAUCUGUCAGGAAAACAGCAACAGCAAGUACCCUACUUAACAAGCUUGAUGCACUCAGCCCACAACUCACAAAAAUACAUGGAUAGCACCAAUGGAAAGAUGGCAUUGCAUAGAUCAAAACACAUGUAGACAUCAACCUCAUAGGAUGCACACAUCAAUCAUGGCAAAAAUGACAAAUGAGCAAGUUAUAACAGUUUCAGCAGGUUAACAUCAACAUGCACUCUUCCAACAGCAUUUAGGGCAUCAAGAUGAGCUCAAAUGAAAAUUAUGCAAUGGAAUUAAAUGAACUACUCGUUGAGGCAAACAAUUUGACAUAUUACACGCACGAAACGGAGCAGUAUGCACAGAGAUACAAUGCGAUGAACAUGGCAUGAUUAUGAUGAAAACUUAUGGACUUGGAGGAAUUUUUGGGGUCAACCUCGUUGCACGGAUUUCAAAGCGGCGCGGAUCUCGACGGAGGGACUCGCCGGAGAGCGACCGGAGUCGAGGGAGAGGCCAGGAAGAGCCGGGGCGGAUGGAUCCGGGCAUGGGGCCCCCGGAUCUGGCGUCAGAGGAGGCCGGAGGGCUUGGCGCAGGGCGGCCGGGGUUCCUGCCGGCGGCGAAGCUCGGCGGAGGACGGCGGCGGGGGCGACCAAGGCGCCGGCGCACGAGGCACGGAGGCGCGGGGCCUNNNNNNNNNNNNNNNNNNNNNNNNNNNNNNNNNNNNNNNNNNNNNNNNNNNNNNNNNNNNNNNNNNNNNNNNNNNNNNNNNNNNNNNNNNNNNNNNNNNNNNNNNNNNNNNNNNNNNNNNNNNNNNNNNNNNNNNNNNNNNNNNNNNNNNNNNNNNNNNNNNNNNNNNNNNNNNNNNNNNNNNNNNNNNNNNNNNNNNNNNNNNNNNNNNNNNNNNNNNNNNNNNNNNNNNNNNNNNNNNNNNNNNNNNNNNNNNNNNNNNNNNNNNNNNNNNNNNNNNNNNNNNNNNNNNNNNNNNNNNNNNNNNNNNNNNNNNNNNNNNNNNNNNNNNNNNNNNNNNNNNNNNNNNNNNNNNNNNNNNNNNNNNNNNNNNNNNNNNNNNNNNNNNNNNNNNNNNNNNNNNNNNNNNNNNNNNNNNNNNNNNNNNNNNNNNNNNNNNNNNNNNNNNNNNNNNNNNNNNNNNNNNNNNNNNNNNNNNNNNNNNNNNNNNNNNNNNNNNNNNNNNNNNNNNNNNNNNNNNNNNNNNNNNNNNNNNNNNNNNNNNNNNNNNNNNNNNNNNNNNNNNNNNNNNNNNNNNNNNNNNNNNNNNNNNNNNNNNNNNNNNNNNNNNNNNNNNNNNNNNNNNNNNNNNNNNNNNNNNNNNNNNNNNNNNNNNNNNNNNNNNNNGCCAUGCGGCAGGCCGCGAUUGGACGGGGGAGCAGGGCGGACACGUCCGGUCGCCGGGCGGACAUGUCCGGCGGCGCGGAAGGGAUGGAUCUAGGGUUUGGACUGCAAAUUCGGGGGGAGGGGGCUAAUUUAUAAGUAGAGGGAGCUAGGAGAGUCCAAAUGAGGUGCGGUUUUCGGCCACGCGAUCGUGAUCGAACGACCGAGAGCAUGGAGGGGAGUUUGCUGGGUUUUGGGCCACUUUGGAAGGGAUGUUGGGCUGCACACAAAAGAGGCUUUUACGGUUACCCAGUUAACCAUUGGAAUAUCAAACAACCUCCAAAUGGCACGAAACUUGACAGGCGGUCUACCGGUGGUGUACCAAGGCCGCUUGGCAAGACUCGGUCCAUUCCGAGAACGUUUAACACCCGCACAUGCAAAGAGGCAAAAGGGGAACGCCGGAGGGCAUAGGAGUGCCGGAUUGCAAAACGGACAACGGGAAAAAUGCUCGGAUGCAUGAGACGAACACGUAUGCGAAAUGAAAUGCACAAGAUGACAUGAUAUGAAAUGCAGAUGAUGAUAUGGAAAAGUGCAACACGCAAGCAAAUGACAUGGCAACGAAGGCGAAUAACUAGCAGACACCUGGCGCAUCGGAUCUGGGGCGUUAUAACCGCAAACUCCCAAUCAAGUGAGUGGGGGAAACAAAUGCGGGAGCUGAACAUAGGGGAACACACACUCGGUCCCGGCGGUUACAGAGUGGCGGAGCCUAUAUGGGACAAGGAGGAGGCGGACCGUGCCGAGCAAGGCCUACCGCCCCUCUUCGAUAAAUACGGUGACAAGCAGACCAGGAACUUUGUCAGGGCCCGGUACAAGAAGGACCCAAAAACAAAGGAGCUUACCACGGAUCCGAAGACCAGGAAGCUUGAGCUUGUUCUGGUAAGGAAUACACCCCCGCGUAAUUAGCUCCAUAUGGUUGCAUUCUAAUUAAUGAAGCCAAAUUUCUAAAUGGUUCACAUUCCUUCCGCAGGCGACUGAAAGCUGUAGCGCGGGGUCGACUAAGAGCAACCCUUGGGACACCACUCUAAAUAAGGCGUUGAAUGUAAUGAAGAACAAGGAUAAGCUCAGUAAGCCGACGUCAUCUGGUCGUGUGGCCGGCAUAGGCUUGUCGACAAAAUGGGGGUCAUACUAUCCCGCUGGUGUGCGGAAGGAGAAAAAGACCAGCUCGGAAAGCCAGGUGCGCGAGGUUCAAGAACUCAAGGCACAGGUGGCGCGGAUUCCGGAGAUUGUCCAAGAGCAAGUGGAACAACGACUCGGAGCGACGAUCACCGCCAUUGUGCCUACCUUGAUCUCGGGGUUGAGUGCGUGGAUUGCGGGCGGCCAACAGGGGCCGCCCCGAUUCCUAGCUUCACGGCCAGUAACUCGCAUAAUGCGAUGGUAGGGCCAUUGGUGCCUCCGGCGGAGGCGGCAUUGGUGUCUCCGACGCCGGCACGGGAGCUUAAUGCACCCGGGUGUACGCCGGCCGGCACCUCUGCAGCAAGCGGCCCCUCCGUCAACUGCACGCCCGCCGUUGGCGGUGCCUCGACAUUAGCCGAGCUCGACGCCAUCAUCACAGUAACUAAUUAAGCCUCUCUCGGCAGAGGACUUCAUCUCCUUGCCUUUGACUGGGCAUCCCUGACGCCCUACAUGUUUUCGCAGGGCGCCGCCGACGUUCCGUGCACUCUCCUCCACUUCGUGAACAACGAGUUGGUCGAUGUCGCCAAGGGCAAAAUAGUUCAACCGGGCAACCCCUUGUUCCACGGUACCCAGAUGCCACCCAACUUGUUUAGGGUUCAACUGGUUCGGGUGCUGCCAGGCUGCGACGAGUUUUUACCUCCGAUUCGACCCGUCGGGGCCGACGAUGAUGACGUGAUGACCCUCAGCGCCUGCCUGAGCGGGCCCCUGCUUUGGCCGAAGAGCCAGAUUCGUUUGGGGGCGGGGGACACCACCCCAAAGACAACACCGCCAGUCGUGCCGGCGCCAAGUCGGCCCCAUGGCAAGACCGCCGCAACGGUGCCGGACAUCCCUAUGCCACUGGAUCCAAACAUGCAUAUGGCACAGGAUCAGAACGACGACGACGACGACGAUACAUUUGGCAACGUCGAUCAGUACUUUGCCGAUCAUGGGUACGAUGGCGACUUCAUGGGGCCUCCUUCUCAAGAACCCAACCCAACAAAAGACGUGUGCGAUCUAGCUGGUACCGCGGAGAAGCCAAGUUGCAACAGGCGCCGUCUGGCGUUCAGCUCUCAGGAGACGCCUCCAGCUGCCGACUUCACCGAGCCUCAGAUAAGCGAGGUGCGAAAUAUUAUCAGCCCCAACACACUCAAGAAGGCGGUCUGUGAGCAGAACUCGGUCCCAUUACAGGAGAAGAAGAAGGCACGCAAAAGAAAGACUAAGAAGGGUGCGAGCCAGCCGGCACCGAGUACGAUCCAUGCUCAGGACGGGCCACCUUCACCUAAGGAUAUCUCGAGGAGGGUGCAUGUGGCGGGUAGGGCGAUGCUACCGACAAAUAUGCUCAAUGCUGCAACCGGUGCUAUGCGGAGUCUGCAUGACAGUGUUCUUUCUUUGGAGAAGCGGCGUCUCAGAGAGAAGGAUGUGGCAUACCCGGUUUUCGCGGCCAAGGUGCCAGAGGGCAAGGGCUUUGUGGAUAACUCCAUCGGGCGUACGAUCGUCCUGCGUUUUGAUGACAUCCACGCUAUGUUGAACCUUCAUCCGCUGCACUACACCUUCGUUCGGCUAUUUUCGCUGAGUAUGGAGAUGCGGUUCAUUCGCGACAAGACCCCGGACAUCGUGAUAGUCGACCCCUUCUACAUGCGUGCCAAGAUCUUGGGCAGCGCUGGGGACCGGCAAGUCGCGAGUUCUUACCUCGAAGGCGUCAUUCUGGCAAACCAAGAUAAGGAUAACUUCCUCGUGCCUUAAUUUCUCGAGUAAGUCCUCCCCUCAACCAGCCCGUAACAUAUGAAUUCUUAGAUUUCGAUCGUUUUUCUUUUAACAUUCCGUGUUUUCUGCAGUGACACACAUUGCACGCUCAUCCUCCUAAGCCCCAAAUAUUCCAUGGCCACGUAUUUCAACCCGGACCGUCAGUCGAACGUAGACUACACAAAUGUCAAGAAGGUUCUUGAUGAUGUUCUCCCCGGCUACGCCAAAUCUGGAGACACCUUCACCAAGCCUAUUCGUAAGUACGGCAAGCAUGUGUUCUCCCACAAUACGACGUUCUGCUGCGUCAAGCAGCCGCCUGGCGGUCAGAAGGGUGCCUACUACGCCAUCCAUCACAUGCGGGCGAUCGUACGGGACCAUCAUCAACUUCUGCUACCGAGUAAACUCAAAGAUUGGGCAAAGAGCGUGUCGGCAAUCCAGGACGCGGACCUCCGACAAGAAUUCUUUCGCAUCCGGUCGGAGUUUGCGGAAAUCAUCCAUCAAGAUGUCCUUCGUACCUCGGGGCAGUUCUACCUCAACAAUCAACCGUCCAACAGUGACAUCGACACAAUGCUACAAAUGCAGGCUGACAACGACCGUUAUUUCAUGACUCACACGAUAGACGGCGGCUUCAUCCACGCUCCGGUCCCUUGAGUCGAGUCGAAAGCAGUGAUGCUGUGUCUAGUUCUGAAACAUCGAUUGGCUCAUGUUGUAAUUAAACUUUAAUGAACUUGUAGUAUGUCUCUUUGGUUUCGAGAGUCGUUCAACUUAGAUGUAAUCGAUGCUAUUAAUGUCUUGCUUUUCUCUUCCGAUCGUUCUGUUGCAUACUUAUAUAUUGCUUAUGUAUUGUCUGUGAAUUGGUACUAACGUUUCGUUUGGCUAGUGCAUAGCGAUGCCGACGUAUGUCGUGUACAAGGGUAAGGUUCCCGGAGUCUACGACGACUGGAAGGAGUAUCGGAGACAGGUUCACCGAUUCAGCGGUAACAGUUACAAAGGGUACACCACUAGGGCCGAGGCUGAAUCUAGAUACGCCCGCUAUCUAGCGGGAGAGGGGAGGGAGCGUUGGAGGAACCGGAUGAAGACGAGUUUCAUCGUGAUGAUGCUCAUCGUGAUGACCGCAGCUCUCUUCUAUGUGAUGGUAGUUUAGAUGAUCGAUAUCGACUUGUAAUGUGAAGACAAACUCGCUACUCGCGGUCUCGAGAUUUGUAAUAUAAUGUUCUAUCUUUGUUUGGUCUUUUCAAUUCGGAGACUAAUAUGAUGAAUUGUAUUCGGAGACUAAUAUGAUGAAUUGUAUUCAAAGACUAAUCUUCUAUUGUAUUCGAUGAAUCUGUUGUUGAUGUGUGCUGUCUAUAUUUUGUCCAAUUAUACAUUUUGUAACCUGUGCAAAAAACAGAAAAUAAAAAAUAAAAAAAAAACUAAUAUUCAUAUUAAUGGCGCAUCACAUCACAGUGCGCCAUUAGUAUGACAAAGUAUACUAAUGGCGCAUUACUAAACAGUGCGCCAUUAGUAUGCCGAGGUUACUAAUGGCGCAUCUUGUUGCUGUGCGCCAUUAGUAUGCCAGAGCACCUGGGUAUACAUGGCCCCUGAGAGGCAUACUAAUGGCGCACUUAUGUAUACACUAAUGGCGCAUCAGAGGUGCGCCAUUAGUAUAUCAGAUACUAAUGGCGCAUCAGGGGGUGCGCCAUUAGUAAAAUAUACUAAUGGCGUGGCACUAAUGGCGCACCACUAAUGUGCCAUUAAUGGCCAAAUUAGGUGCACCAUUAGUAGGCCUUUUCCUAGUAGUGAUGGGAUCUUUGGAGUAGCAGCGGUUCUCAUGAGAUAAGCUCAAGUCCAAUGUACAUGGAAGUUUGACGCAUGGAUAAAUUCAAGGUGGUGGAGAAUAUUCGUCAAGGUGGAGUUUGUUGGAGUUGUGUCGAAUAUUGUGUACAAGGUAGGUCACAGUUGGACUUGUAGUUGUAUUGUGUUUAUAUAGGAUAUAUAGUCAUGUCCUAGUAAGACACUUGUAUCAUAGUCCUCUCAUAUAUAGCGGGGGUAGACACACGAUGUAACCUAUGCCAACAUAAUAGCACCGGAACGCAGGGAAAGCCGGCGGCAUGUGCGGGUGUCCAGGGCGACCGGGUGCGGUAUUGUAGCGGUAUCAUGAGGAGGAGCGCCAAUAGUCAGGACCCGGUGAUGUAGCGGUGUUCGUCGACUCGGCGUUGAGGUGUGAUUAGGUGCAAGCGUCGUCAGAUCGAAAGCGGCUAGAAUCGGCUAGUCGGCGAGAUCGGAUUGUAGCGGUUGCACGCCGAAUCACAGCAGCAGGAGUCGUACAUCGAUCGGACUGAGCUUACACGGUGGAGCCUGAAGCUAGUCAAAGAGGCCUAGCGGGCAGUUGUGCACGUGUCGCAAGGGACCGCUGAGACGUGCCUGUUGUACAGGACUGAAGGAAAGCUAGAUGCGAGAUUUGUUAACGAGGUUCACCGAUAUGACUACAUCCCCAGGGCAUUGACUACAAGCGCUCCUCCCCGUGACACCGUCACAAUACCGCACACCGGCCAUCCGGGCGCCGGCAUACGCCGUCAGCUCCCCCUUGUGCGCAUGUGCUAUUAUGUUGGCAUAGGUUACAUCAUGUGUCUACCCCGCUAUAUAUGAGAGGUCUAGGAUACAAGUGUCCUACUAGGACACGACUCCAUAUCCUACCUAAACACAAUACUACUCAGAGUCCAACUGUAACCACCUUGUACACUAUAUUCGACACAACUUCAACACACGUCCCCGUGCACCGGUGACAGUAAAAUUAUACUCACAACAACACUCGGGCGGGGCGCAAGCGCAAUAUGCGAGACCAACCUCUUGUCCUCAAUUUGGCGGCAGACAUGGCUUCACGUGCAGCGCCAAGUAUCAAGUCUCCGCUCAAGUUGCCACCAGCAACAAGGACGUCUGCUACAUCGACGCAAACGACGCUCCCGGCCGGGUCACUGCUAAAUUUCUGCUUGCCCGUUAAGGUCUUUGCAAGUCCACCAACUAUAUACGUGAGGUAACUCUUUACCGCUGUUCGCGCCAACGAUGAACAAGCACGUUAAACAAGUAGACUCCGGGCGCAAUGAAAGCCCAAACCCCGGCAUCUUUUUAAAUUUGAAUAUUUCUUGCUAAAAGAUCUUUUCAAAUUUGAUAUAGCAUCGCUCUCGCGUGGCUUCACGUCCUGUGACUCGUGGGUUGUGCCAGCCAAUGUCCGUGGAAUCCGCCGCUCCGGCGAGUAAAAGUGGAGUGGCGCUAGCCGCCGGCCGGCAACUCCAUUGGCAAGCACUCCAACCUCUUGAUUACUUGGCCCGAUGCCGUCGUCUAGUGCCACGCACCACGCACGGUGGUUCUUCGAGGCAAGACUCCGCAGUCCACAGUCCACACACAGAUCUGGUUUUGAGAUGUGCGUCAUCAAAUGCAUGCCUGCGUGCAUGUGCGUCUCGGAUUCAGAGGUUUCACUUUCAUCCCUCGCUUCUCAAAGGCGGUCGAUCCCUCCUCGUACACAUCAUCUGCUCCAUGCGUCGAAAUCUAAAGAGCAGUGCUAUGCAGACGAUGAAAUUUGGACGAUCGGCGCACAACAAUGAAAUCCAGUCGGGAAAUCUCAUCCACAACAGAGCAACUACCUGUGGAUUGUUUGUCGUGCACAUAUCGCCAACACUCUGUCGUGCGUGGAGCAAUUCCGAAAUGUAAAGAGCGGUGCUAUGCCGAUGAUGAAAUUUGGAUGACCAGCGUGCACCACGACCUUUCUUGUUUGCUUUUGAUACCCAAUCGCCUCUCAAGAAAUCCGUUGGUGUAUGUUGGAUUAUUCGCCCUGUUUUCUCUCUGUCUGAGAGAAAAUAGAUGCGUCCGAUUUAGAAACAGCAGCAGAAGAAAAGAGAAGGCAUGGUUUUUGAAUGUACUAUAAGCAAUUUGUAUGUGAGUAUGUGUUUUGACUUGAAAUGGAUUAUGAUGGAUCUCUCCAUCAGAGAUUCGUAUUUGGGGCGUUCUUUUCUUCUGUGUGAAGAUAAAAGUGGAGGAUGCGUACUGUAUGCACUGGAUCUGGAUGCUGGAUAGGUAACUCGGUCGCCAACGGGACGGUCAUUCAUGCAGUGUUGCUCCGCAGUUGGGCCUCUGCCGGGAGAGUCUACUGCGCGUCGUGCCAGCCGUGGAGUUCGCCGGCGCUACAGGGCCUGGUCCGGCCAACGGUAAAGAAUACGUAGAUUCGUAUCUGCGUGCGGGCUUCACGUGCAGUGCAGUGCAGCGUGGCUCCUGCGUCCCGUACGUCGUCGUUUGAUUAUUACUCCCUCCGUCCGGGUUUAUUAGGCCUAAAGACAACUUCUCUUAAACCAAGACACAUAGUAAUUUGCUCACAUUAAUUAUUCUAUUCCAUUUCCAAUGCACUCUCUCACAUGCAUGCAGCCAAUGAAAAAACACACAUGAAGUGUAUUAACUUUUCAGCCAUGGCACCAACAACAAUAGCUUUCAAUACAACCAAUGAAAUGGUUGCAUGCAUGCACCUUUCCAAUGCGAGGCCUUAUAAAAGGGGACAUGCUUGUGAUGCUGAGAGGCCUAAUAAACCCGGACGGAGGGAGUACUUGGCCCCAGGUGCGAUUCAAUCUACUACUAGUGGAAUAUAUACUGGAGCUAGCCACCGGCCGGCAACUCCAUCGAUCGGCAACCACUCCAGCGUCUUGAUUACUCUGCCCGAUGCCGUCGCCUAGUGCCGUGCCAUGCCAGUGUGCCACCCACCGCGCACGGUGGUUCUUCGAGGCGAGACUCCGCAAUCCACAGUCCACACGCUGAUCUGGUUUCGAGAUGAGGGCCAUCAAACGCAUGCGUGCGUGCGUGCAUGUGCGUCUCGGAUUCUGAGGUUUUACUUUGGUCCCAAAGCGACCGGUCCCUCCUCGUACGGCUCCAUGCGUCAAAAUUGAAAUGGGCUCCCACAGUUGUGCUCUAGCAUUUGUAUACAUUGGUAAUAGAUAAGUUUAUGUAUCAACUUGAUGAUAAUAUAGUAAAGUAAGUGUAAGAAUCUGUUUGUCUUUGCAGGAAAAUAAUACUCCCUCUGUCUAGGUGAGUAAGUCAUCUUAGGUUGUGCACCGUGACCAAGAAGGAGGGGAAAACGAGAGUACUUAAUGUUCAUUUGCUAAUUAAUAGCAUUGCAUGUCGUGUUUAGUAGUCUCAUGUCGUUAAAAACAUGUACACCCCACAUCUCUUAUUGGUUGAUAUGUCAAGAAACAAGAAACGAGGUAGAAUUUAAUGCACCGCGCCUAAGAGUUUUGAGAAUAUUUGGUUUUCGUAAGAUGACUUACACACCUAGACGGAGGGAGUAGUAAGACUCGGGCGUGAAACCAAACUAGUGUAUCGUCUUAUAAUUUGGCAUGAGAUGCAGAUGGCUAAAAAUGGCGAAAAUGAGCAAAAACAGAUUAUUAUUUUUUUGUGGAAAGCAAAAAUAGACAUUUGAUGGAACAUUUUAAUAAAUUAGAUAAAAUAGAAACAUGUGAAUAGAACCUUGGCAACGCCAGAUAACCAAGCCGUGUGAUUAACUCUACAAACGGUGUGAUUAGCUUUGGCGCUCAGAUUCGGUCUUGCUCUUGCACAAAGGGUAGGAUGCAACCGACUCGUUAUCAAUUCUGAUAAUCUGGAGGUCAUUGAAAUUAUGAAGAAGAGUGGUCUUUAUUUGGGGGUGGCUGCGAUGAUUUUCUAUGAUUGCUAUAACUCUAUUUGUGAUUUUACUAUUGCUAGGUUUCAUCUACGUAACAGGUAGCAAAUAAAGUUGCUCACGGGCUUGCUAGCUUAGCUAGAUUUUCUUCGAUGCUCGAUUGGUUUGAGGAACCCGCGAGUGAGAUUGUACCAUUGCUUAUAAAUGAUGUAACUAUUAUUUUUCAAUGAACAAGCUCUGGUAUGUUUUGUUUCGAAGAAAAAAUAUGGGGAUGACGUUAAAAUGAAGUCUGAUAUUUUGAUCUUUUGUGGCUUAACUUCUUACUUUUCUCUUCCUUUCUUCUCUUCGCAACUAGGCCACAAUGUUGAGAUCCAAAAAAAAAAAUCCUUACAAUACUAAUGCAAUAUUACUUAGGGUGAUUGUCUCCCAUUUCUCUCUACCUAGGAUGACGUGUUAAGAGACAAUAACUUUCGGAGUGCCCUUGUCAUCGUGGGAAUAACUAAGCUAGUACUAGUAACAUACUACCUCCGUCCUGAUUUACUGGUCCCCUUUGUAUUUAGUGUCCAAUUGACCAUAAAUUUAAUUGACAAAAUGUCAAUGCAUGUCAUAAAAAUUUAUACCAAAUUUUAGGAAAUAUAGAGUGGAGUAAAAAAUGCAUUUGAAAAGUGUAAGCCAUCAUCUCUCUCCGCUUUAAUUGCCCAAUCCCCAAUGAGCUAAGUGCAUGUAUAAAUUAAGAAGACCAUGUGUAGAAUGUUAUUGGUCUUGAUUACCGUGUGAUGAAAGAGAAGAUUUUUUUUCUAUUUUAAUGUGCAUUGAGAAGAUAGAAGCACACUUUUUUGUGGACAAAUUUUAAAAGAGAACAUACACUCUUCGCCAGACGGAAGGAGUACCAUCACAUAACGCUUCCCAAGAAAAAAAUAGUUUACAAGCUAAUAAAUGCAACCAUCUAUGGUACCACAUCUAUGUUUCUUUUCAUUAUGAGGUAGUAGUAAUAUAGACUAGUGUCAUAAGUUACUCACCACUAUAUAUGACUAGCCUUAGCCUUAGUUUCAUGCUGCCGUCACUACAUAGGCUCGAACCACUAGAGUAGAAAUUUCUCAAUACUGUGUACGAACCCUACAUCCUACAAGAUACAAGUUGUAAAUUUGUAGUGAACACGUAGUGCCUCAUAAAAAAGGUACACGCUCACCAACUUUGAUAUCUAUGUGUUCCAACCUGCUUUCUACAUGCGCAAAGUAUUUCACAAUUUUUUGGAUUUAUUUUUUCUUAUUGUACUCAACAUGAUUCUGGGAUAUACGCCCCCAUGCGGUUAUUUUGAUAAUAAACAUUGUUUUGCUUGGGUAUUUUUCUGUUUUGUGCACAACAUGUUAUUGAUUCUUGUCUUACUGGCAAGUGUGCCACUUAUAACGGGCAAAAGUUUGGAAGCUGGGUGUAUAUGCACCUAUAUUUCAAUAAAAAAAUAGUAAACACAAAAGGUGUCGAAAAAUUCAUUUUUUGGCAAUAAAAUCAAGAGUUCUAAUGGUGAUUCUUUUCCAAGGAAUGAUUUUGAUGGUAUUGUUGGUGAAAAAAGAAUAAGGUCACGAAAGUGUUGCUCUAAUCUCGAGCUCAUGUGAGCUCGGGUGAGCAGCAAAAUAAGAAAGAAAAAAAACUGAACUUUUAUUGUACCAAACAUGGACAAAUGUUUUGAUUAACUGGUUGCAAAGUUUCAUCACCAGAUGACAUUCAUGCAAAACGUGGCAAAAAAGAUAAAAUUGAUGUUCCAAAAUGCUUUUGCAAGUAACAUUUUGAAGCAUCUUGUUUUUUGCGAUGUUUUUCACUAAUGUCAUAUGGUGAUGAAACUUUGUAACCAAUAAAAACAUUCGUAAAUGUUUGGCACAAACAAAAUUCAGAUUAUUUUGAUUUUUUUUAAUUUUAAUGUUCACCCGAGCUCACAUGAGCUUGGGAUUAGAACAAUUGUGUCCAGAAAAGUCAGCACUAUAUUGAAGUUACUAUUCACACUUUUUGUGCUUCAAUUUUUUUAUUUGCCAAAAAGUCGAUGGGACUUCCUCGUUGGCCAAUUUUUUAUACGAGUACAAUACAAGGUCGAGAUUGUUAACAGAAUAAUUCAGUUUUUAAAAAUUUCUGCAAUUUCUAUUUGGCAUAUCAGGUGCAUAUCACCCGAGGGUCUAGGGGUAUUUUCCACUUAUAACGACACUAGUUUUUUUAUAGGGGUUGCAAGAGGCAAAGAUGGUGUACUACAGAUAAGAAAUGCGUGUCUACCGUUCCCUUGCCUCCUGCCGGCUCCAUCGUCGGUCUGCCUCGUCUCUGGUAGCCUUAGGGCCAUGGCAGCGCGGUGGAUCUCUGCCCAUGCCGGCAGGAGGACUCUGUUUUCAGUUGUUUCUUUACGUUUUGUUAGGGUUUGUGUCCUGCUCAGGAAGACGAGACGGCGGCGGCUCCCUGAAGAUGGAAUAAGGUUCUCCCCGCCUAGCCCCUGUCCCGAUGGUGUGUGGAGGUGUGUCUCCGGCAGAUCUAUCCUUCGUGGAUUUGCUUGGAUCUGGUCGUAGUCCAUCUAUGUUCAUGUGUUUUCAGGUUGGAUCCUUCCGAUCUACACUACUCUUCAUCGGCGGCGUUUGUUGUUUGCUGCACUGGUCCUAUGGGNNNNNNNNNNNNNNNNNNNNNNNNNNNNNNNNNNNNNNNNNNNNNNNNNNNNNNNNNNNNNNNNNNNNNNNNNNNNNNNNNNNNNNNNNNNNNNNNNNNNNNNNNNNNNNNNNNNNNNNNNNNNNNNNNNNNNNNNNNNNNNNNNNNNNNNNNNNNNNNNNNNNNNNNNNNNNNNNNNNNNNNNNNNNNNNNNNNNNNNNNNNNNNNNNNNNNNNNNNNNNNNNNNNNNNNNNNNNNNNNNNNCAAUGACGGCGGCGCGCCUUCGGCUCGUUUCAGUGUUUGUAGUCGUCGCUAGGUGGUCUACGGAUCUGGAUGUAUUUUUAUCAUUUCUUGUUCUCGAUGUACUGUCAUGAUUGAAAAUGAAUAGAUUGGAAGUUUUCUGCAAAAGAAAAAAACAACAGUAGCUUUUUUUGGCGGUAAUAUAAUGACACUAGUUAAAAGGGCUAGAAGUAGCGAAAACAAAUAUUCAUUCCAUCCAUGUAUACAGAGCCACUAAAUCUUGUAUAGGCUUGAUCAAUUUUAUAAAAAAAAUACUAUUAAUAACAUCUUUAAAACAAAUUAAUAUUACUAGAUCUAUCAAAAACGUGUUCACAUAAUGUGUUUAGUAGGUGUUGUAUUUUUUUCAUAAACUUGGUCAAACUUAAAAUAGUUUAACCUGAGACGAGAAUAAGCGGCCUUGUAUACAGGGCGUAGUUAAGGUUAGUUUUGUUUUAGUAGGGAAAAGAUGAACCUUGGGUAAUAUUGAGGACCAAAUUCUGCAAUUGAGCCUAUGCACAUUUUAAAAACCUACAUUAACCCUAGAUAACAUUUUUUGAGGGAUUUAACCAUUGAGCAACGGACCGAUGCAUUGCCCAUGACACAUGCUUGUAUGCAAUCACAUAAGGUUAUUCACAACCCGUACAUGUGAUGUGAUGCAUUUUUAUAAAACACAAUCUUGUUUUCUAGGGGAAAAUUAGAAUCUUGUUGUGAUGUACGUACGUAGGUAGUAUAACAUGAGCUCGUCUGUGAUGUGUCUAGAGCAUCGUUGUCCGCCCCUAACAAUAAAACGAGCAUAUGUUUCUGUAUUCACGAGAGCGUAAGACCCGUCAAGCUAGAGGGAUUCGAAGGUCAGUCUGAAACCUUUGCUUUGCUCUCCAUUUCGCACCCUAAAGGUUUUCACUGGCAUGCAACGAUUAGCUUAGUUCAUCCGCUCUGAGUGGUGGUUAUUUUAGUUCAUCCUACUGGCUACCCUUACACUUACACUGAGAAUAAGCUGCUUGCUUUUACCUCUAUAAAUAUCACCUCUAAGCAUCUCCACAUCUCCACACAGCUGCUCUGUCAUUCGUACUCUCUUUGCAUCUUGACACACCUUCGCCUUUCACAUUUCCUCCUCUGGUGCAGCGUAGCCUUCCUUGACACCUUCCUCUGGUACGCACACAUUUUCCUCUUCAUGCUCCAACACUUUUUUUUUUUGAGGGGGCUCUCUUUGUAACACUUGUGUGUAGUUUUUUUUCCUCCUUUUUGAGGGAGUAUGUACAAAUUUUCUGGCAACGAGUAUUUUGUUUUCAGAAUCAAGAGAAACGAGGAGGCCCUCUAUCAAUCAGGCCCCAUAGAAUAAUAACCCGGUGUGUGCUAAUGAACAACAUAUGGGCUUGGAUGAAUCCCUCGUUUUCCUUGCGAGGGCCCAUCCCAAAUCCGCUCGUCCUCUACGCAAUAAUUCUAGAGAAACCCUAGAGGGUGAGCGGCGGAAUCGGCGGCGGCGGCGACAAGCUCCCGCACCGCGGCGCCGCCCCCUUGCUCAAUUUCCAUGUUUUUUUUUUCCUUCUGUAAGUAUAGUUACCCAGUUUAUCAGGCAAAGUUGGAAAGUUAAUGCUUUAUCCCAGCCGGUGGUGCCUAAUUGAUGAUCUGAAUCCUGUAGCUCCGACCGCAAUCUUCAGCUAAAUCUCGAUUGCUCUCACGCAGGCAGGACCGGAGCCAACGGGUCGAUGGAGCCGGUGGGCAUCUCGGCGGCGAGCUGGGUGGUGGGCAAGGCGCUGAGCCCACUGUCCGGGGGCGUGCUGGAGGCGUGGGCGGCCAGCACCAAGCUCGGGUCAAACAUUGAGGCUCUGAAAAUGGUGCUGCUGCAGGCGCAGGGGAUGCUGAACAGUGCCGGGGGCAGGGAGAUCCACAACCCGGCCCUGACUGAGCUGCUAAACAAGCUGCGGCAGCUGGCGUACGUGGCUGACGACGUGCUCGACGAGCUCGACUACUUCCGCAUCCAGGAUGAGCUCGACGGCACUUCCGAUGCCGCCGACGUGCAUGCUGCUGGCUGCGUGCAGGACCUCGCCCUCCACGCCCGUCACACGGCCAGAGCUUGUGUGAACAAACUCAAGUUUCCUGUGUGCACGCGUGCUGCCACUGCCAGGCAUGAUGAUACCGACCAACAAGGUAAACAAGGAUUCCUCUCAGGCCUCCGCUUUUGUGGUGGCCGGCGUGAGAUCGGAUCGUCAUCAAGGUCAACCGCAAACAAUGUCGGUAAGCGCUUCUCUUGCUUCUCCUCGUUACCUUCUGUCGACCAUGAUGUUGAAACUGACAUGAUGGGGAAUCCCAGCAUGACUGGAAAUGACCCCUUACAAAUUCCGAAAUUGAUGUUUGAUAGGGUGGAAAUGUCUAGAAAGAUAUCAGACAUCACAGAGCAGCUCAAGCCCGUGUGUGCUAUGUACAUGCCAUUCUUAGUCUAGAGCUACCAAACUCUGUCCGUAUACCUACCCAGGACAUUGCUAUGAGCAGACCCAAGUCCACCCCGCUGAUUAUAGAGCCUAAGUUAUAUGGAAGGGAUAGCCAUAAGAAGAUCAUUGUAGAUGAAAUUGUUAAUAGCGAGGGUCGUGGACUUACUGUGCUUCCAAUUGUUGGCCCGGGGGGUAUCGGGAAGACAACUUUCACACAACAUAUAUAUGAACAAAUGAAGAACCAUUUCCAGAUAUCCAUUUGGAUAUGCGUCUCUCUCGAUUUUAACGCAAAUAGGUUAACGAAAGAUAUCGUUGAAAAAAUCCCCCAAGUUAACAAUGAAAACAAAAAUUGUAGUGCCGAAGAGCUCAUCGAACAAAGAUUAAAAGGAAAGAGGGUUUUACUUGUCUUAGAUGAUGUUUGGGAAUAUCGUGAGGUUGAGUGGAAAAAUGUAAUAGCUCUUUUCAAAAAAGAGGGGGGGAAAGGUAACAUGGUCAUAGUCACGACUCGAAUAUCCGAGGUAGCAAACGCUGUUAAGACAACUAAAUACUCACUAAAACUGGAGCGUUUGUGUUCAGCAGAUAUCAUGUCUUUCUUCGAAGAGUGUGUAUUUGGUGACCAAAAACCAUGGGUUGACCAUCCAGAACUAGUUGACAUUGGGAGCAAAAUAGUGGACAAGCUGAAGGGUUCCCCUCUUGCAGCAAGAACUGUUGGUAGAUUACUAAGAACAAAACUUAUAUUGAACCACUGGAGAAGCGUACUGGAAAGUAAAGAAUGGGAAUCAACAACGGACGAUAAUGAUAUUAUGCCAGCUCUAAAGCUCAGCUAUGAUUAUCUUCCUUUCCAUUUGCAACAAUGUUUUUCUUUUUGUGGUUUGUUUCCUGAAGAUUAUGUGUUUGGUAGUGAAGAGUUGGUUCACUUGUGGAUUGGACUAGACAUUUUACAUUCAGGUGACCAGAAGACAAAAAGACUUGAAGAUGUUGGACUGUGCUAUUUAAAUGACUUGGUAAAUUAUGGAUUUUUUAAAAUGAAUUCAAAAGGAAAUGAGCAUCCUUACUACGAUAUGCAUGACCUAAUGCAUGAGUUGGCAGUGAAGGUUUCAUCCCAUGAGUGUCUUAGCAUAUACAGUUCUAAUGUGAGGGACAUACAAAUUCCCCCAUCUGUACGUCACAUUUCAAUCAUUGUAGAUGACACAGAUAUCAAGGACAAAAUGUCUUUUGAAGAAUAUGAUGGGAAUUUGCGUGCACUUGGUACAAAAUUGGAAGUUGAAAACUCACACACUUUAAUGUUAUUUGGAUAUUACCAUGGAAGGUUUUCCAAAACUUUCGCUAGCUUGUUUGGCGAAGCUAGAGCUCUCCGCAUCAUAUUUUUGUGCGGCACGCAAUAUAACAUUGAGGAUAUAUUGCACAACUUCUCAAAACUAGUCCAUCUGCGGUACUUGAGGAUCGAGACGGGGCUUUACCGGCCUUUGUUCUUACCUUGUGCGUUGUUUAGAUUGUAUCAUUUAGUAGUCAUUGAUCUACAACGUGAGUAUAGAUGCCUUGAAUCAACUGCACAUAUGAGCAACCUCGUAAAAAAAAUAUGAGCAACCUUGUAAAAAUGCGUCACUUUCUUGUGCAAAGGCCUGAAUUUCAUUCUAAUAUUUGUUGGGUGGGAAAACUAAAAUUCCUGCAGGAAUUAAUGGAAUUUAGAGUGGGUAAGGAGAGUGAGGGUUUUGAACCGAGCCAGCUCGGGCAAUUGAAAGAGAUUGGAUCACUUGGCAUUUAUAAUCUUGAAAAGGUGCAAUCAAAGGAGGAAGCAAACGAAUUCAAACUGAUACAAAAGAACCACUUACGUGAACUCAUAUUAGAAUGGGAUGUUAGGGGCUCUAACAAGGAUCCAGUGAAGGAAGAAUACGUUCUUGAAAGUCUUGUACCACAUAGCAAUCUUCAAGAGCUAUGCAUUAGAGGGCAUGGGGGCACUAAUUGCCCAACAUGGCUAUGUACGAAUCUCUCGGUUAAAUGUUUGGAAUCUCUUUCUCUGGAUGGCUUAUCUUGGAAUAAUCUUCCACCUCUGGGAGAGAUGUGGAUGAUUAAUGAGCUUGGUGAAGAGUAUCAAUGUGGUAGUAUCUCUGCUCCAAGCUUUCAUAAGUUGAAAAGUCUACAACUAAGUAACAUAUCCAGGUUGAAACGGUGGGUUGGAAGUGGCACUUGUCCUAUUUUUUCUCACCUGGAAGUGCUCCUCAUUAAAAAUUGCUCUGAACUCAUCGAGUUGCCGUUUUCAUGUCCUCCUAGUUGCUGUCAAGCACAGCAGGAGGAGAAAAUAGGCUGGUUCCCUAGACUAGGAAAACUUGUCAUUGUCGACUGCCCGAAACUAGAGUCCUUGCCUCCUAUCCCUUGGCGGGCUGGUGCUCCCCGUUCUGCUGAGAUAGCAAGAGUAGGAUCAGGUAUUGAGCGGGUGGUUUACCCAUGUAGAUACAGAUCGAAAUUAAGCUUGGAAAUAGAGGGGAAGGGUGGUCAGGGUGAUGUGUUGUGGAAUGGGUUGAAUUUCUCUAAUCUAACUGAUUUAGAAGAGUUGUGUGUGAACAAUGUCCCUCCCCUACAGCUGGAUCACCUCCAGCUGCUAACAUCUCUGAAGAAAAUCAAGAUAUAUCGUUCAAGUGGUGUCUUGCUGCCGGUUGGAGGUAAGAGUCAUGCCAUAUGCCAGUCUCUGGUUGAAGAACUCGAGAUCAUUAAGUGUGAUACUAGUGGGAAAGAAUUGACGCUGCUGCUCUCUUUCCUUCCAAGCCUCUCAAAGUUGAAAAUACAAGAGUGUGACAAUAUAACUGGGUUGGGUGUGGUGGAGCAUGCAGAAACUGGAGAGAAGAAGGAACCUAAAAAAGGAGAGGGGGAAAUAAUAACAGCAGCGGCAACAGAAGGACUGCUGCUCUUGCCUCCCCACCUACAGGAGGUAUCGAUUUUAGAUUGCGAAAAGGUGAGCUUACUCUCCGGCUCACUGUGGGGCGGGGGGCUCCAGCGUCUCUGCUCCCUUCGCUUCUUGUAUGUAAUGCCUUGCGGCGAGUUCCUCUCUUCCUAUUCGUCCCCGUCAUCAUCUUGUUUCCCUUUCCCAGCAUGCUUGCAACACCUAAUCCUAAGCGGCGUGAGGUACAUGGAGACACUGCAACUCCUCUCAAACCUCACUUCUCUUACUGAAUUAUUCUUGAAUAUAUGGGGGGAUUCAAGAGACGAGGGCUUAUGGCCUCUCCUCGCCUACGGCCGCCUCACAAAAUUAACCCUCUAUACUUCCUCCGAUUUCUUUGCUGGUUCCUAUCCCUCAGGCUCACAUGACAGAGAGGUUUGUUCCCGUUCCUCCAAGCUCUUUGAUCUGAGUACGAAAAACAACACAGGAGUCCUUGCCGCUCCCGUUUGCAGCCUCCUCUCCUCCACCCUCACCAGAUUCGAGCUUGGUUUCACCAACGAGGUAGAGUGCUUGACAGAGGAGCAAGAGGAGGCCCUUCAACUUCUGACCUCUCUUAAGAGGAUCCGAUUUUUUGGGGGAUACAAGCUGCAUCGCCUCCCUGAAGGUCUACACAAGCUUAUCAACCUCAAGCAAUUAGUGAUCUGUGCGUGUUCAGCCAUCAGGUCGCUGCCCAGCCUUCCGAACUCUCUGCAGGAAUUAGAGAUAGAGCGUUGUCGUGCCAUCAAGUCGCUGCCGAACAGCCUCCCGAGUUCUCUGGAAAGAUUACGUCUCUCCAGCUGUAAUGACAUCAAGUCACUUCCCAAGGACGGCCUUCCAAGUUCAAUGAUAGAGUUAGAUGUCAGCUGUGGCAACAGCCAGGAGCUAAAGAGGGAGUGCCGCAAGAUGACAGCAAUCAUCCCUAUUGUCAGAACCUGACCAAUCCAAGGUACAUAACAAACACUGCCCUCCAUCUUUGUACUCAUUACCAGUUCCAUUCCCUGCCUUUGCCCUUUUCGUUCCUAAUUAACUUUGUAAGCACUGAAGCCAUUUUCUUUUCUUUCGUUUGCUUCAUCGCUGUUAGCUGCUAUGUCAUCUAAUAAUAAAACAACUUGGUUGUUUUAAUCUACUUCGCAGGCAUCUUAUUCGAUUUGCGUAUUCUUCUAGCUUCCUACAAGUCCGAGCAAGGUUGCCAACGCAAGCAUGAUGGUCUCAGUUUGUUUCUCCCGUCCUGCAUCUAAAGCUGGUUAGUACAUGCAUAAUUAAUCGUCCCAUACUGUUGUAUUUCCCGUCCACUGUUUAUAGAAAAAAAAUAUACGUCUUCUGCUGAUCUGCACGUUGUUGUUUUGAACUUUGCCCUUCAUGCAUUUGUUAUAGACUGCGAGUGUUAGAGUCCAGCUUGCAAAAUAAUACUCCCUGUGUGUACAAUACAUCCACAAUCCACAGUUUACUCUUCGUAAAAAUUAAUGCAAAGUACUUACCUUGCUUCUUCCUAAUCCCACAUGUCAAGUCAUUUUUUUCAUUUGGUUUACCUCAUUACCACAUAAUCUAUUGUCUGAGCAAAAUUUCUAUGCAGAGCUUCAUCUUGGAGUUGUACAUUAUUUUAGCCUUGUAAAAUUCGCCCCAUGCACACACUGGUGGCACAUGAGGGUCUUGUAUGAAAAUUCCUAAAUCUCUGGUUAGUAUGUGUAAAUCCAAUCUGUUCAUCGUAUAGCGAAUACCAUUUCAAAGUUUCAUUGUCUCACUCCCUGGACGAAAUAUAUGAUGUACUCAACAUUUUUUUCUUUCCCCUGCAGGUGUUCUUUGCUCAUUCUGGUUGGUUCUUAGAUACUUUACAUUUACAUUUUGGUCGUCUUCCAUGAUGACUUGAUAGUAUGCUUGGCUUAUUCGACUGUGAUGGUCAAAAGAUCACCAUGGAAUAAUAUGGUGGAAGCAAGGAGAUCUGGUGACUUUCUACUGAAAUUAAGGUCAGCCGUUUUUAAAACUCGGUGCUGCACCAGAUGAAGAUAGAAGGUGUUCUUGCAUAUGUCUUAAUUGUUGUUGCUUAACAGAAUUUAAUGGAUGCAGGAACUUUACAAGAAUACCCCUCAUUUCGAAUGAUUGCUGGUGUGCAGCGAAUUCAGAUCUCCUCUUGUUAUUAACUGGUAUGGCCAAUGUUCUCCUUUUCAUCCAUAUAGAAGUCUACAAGAUAACUUGUGUAACCCUUUAGACUAAACUAUGGUUCUUGGGUUCUUGAUAGAUGUGGCAUGUGGCACAACUUUGGAACUUGAUGAUGUACAGGCACAUGUUUGUUAAUGUACAACCCUUUUGUGCUGAUGCAAGGUUAGCAAACCCCUGCCGAAAUUCAUGAUCGCUUUAGCUAUGCUAGAUUGUAUUCAGUGUGUGAUUGUCAAACUCAUAUUGCCUCGUGAGACCUAGGUUAGAGAACUUGUUGCUUUCUUGAUAAGUUGGUAGUCUAGCUUUUGAGCACACUCAUAAUCUCUGAAUUCAUUGCCAUGCUGAAUUAAAUGACAUAAGAGAGUUUUCAGCUGAUACAUAUAGUCGUAAAGGUAGAGAACACUUAUUAUUAGGGAUUGAUGAACAUCGAUUGAGCAAAAAAGGCUCGAGUUUGCUAAUUUUUAUUCAUAGAACCACCUGAGUUAAGCAUGGUGAAGGUGAUUUUAUUCUCUUAUUGGCCAGAGUAAUUUUUUUUUCUAUCCCACCAAUGCCAAAAACAGAGCACAAUUCAUUAGCCUUUGAUUAUUGCAAUCUGAAUAUUUAGUGCGUAUUGUUAAGUUUGAUGUUCCUCUAGUCUGAAGUCUUCGAAAUCCAGUCAAUCUUUUUGCGUAACUUAUAUUUUGCUAGCCUCUUCAACACUCGGCAUUGCAUUCCCUCAUCGGGAUAUCACAAACUCUGCCGGUGUACAUAUACAAAUCCCUGAAAAUAAACCAUUUCUUCCAUGUGUUCACACCAUACCUACCUACCUAUAUAGCACAUCUCUCCCUAUCCCACAGUAGUUGAUUAUUCCAUACGCACACUCAUCAAGUGAAAGAAGACUCAAAAGCGCUUUGUUGUCAUUGACCCUGCAAAUUUCAUAUUAUGAAGAGCUAUAUUCGUCAAUAUUGAUGACUCUCUCACAAAAAUCAAAAAAAAAGUGAGGGUCGUCAUUCAAAAGAUCAAGGGUUCAAAAGAUCAAGAAAUAGUCAGCAUUGCUUCCAUAUUCAUGAGCAGAAUUCAGAAUGGCUAAUCAAACUACUACCUAUGCAAUAUUGAUAGCUUGAGCAUUAGUCGCAUUCUGGGAUCACCUUGCAUUGCACAGGCAUCUCAUCAUUUCUUUGGCGUGAGUCCAUUCCCUCCCACCUCCCCUGGGCACUACCUUUCUCCAAUGACUGGAAUGUGAAGACUUCUUUGUACUAGAGUGGAACACUUAUUUAGCUUUACUAUCUAGAUUUCAGUUUUGCUCAUUCUUUGAAUUACCCUACCAAGCUUCAGAUAAGCUUUCCACAAAUAUAAAGUAGAUAGAAAACACUUCGGCCACUGGCCAGUGAGGACUAUAAUUAUGCGAUCGAUGAGAGUAAUUCCAGAUCAUGACGAGGUAAUCUCACUAGAUACCUGCUCUUGGAAGGUUCACAAAGGAAUAAAACUGUUGGCUGCUUGUGUUCUCUUUUGUUCUUGAAAUUGAAGUCAAACCUCCUAGUGAUUGUUUUCAAAAACUUUCAUGGCUAUAUUGUUGAUUCUGUUCACUCUCAUAAAAUGGAACCCGUUCCAUAGUGGCAAUGAAUAGGAGUUGUUAUUUAAGCUUGUGCUCAAUUGCUAGCCUGCUACUUUGAUAAGUUUGUGGGAAGUGUCUCGAUCCAAAGUUUAUGAGGAUUUUAAUAAUUGUUUGCACAUGAGCACUUGUCUGCAAUCUCGCUAUGCUAAGCUUUCAGGUGUUUCACAAGCACAUGGGCAAGUUGAAUCACGAGGGAAGAAUCAGAAAGGGAGAAACCUGAGAUGAACCAUACCCUUUGUUUGUCUUUGCAGCCUGAGAUGAAGAGCCUAUAAGGAAGAGAGGAUACUUUUUUCGCAGUCAUUUCCUUGUAGCUUCAGUUUGUAGUAGGUUUCGAUGAGUGGUACGAAAACAGGACAAUUUUUUUGUCAUUCGUUUUCUCAGUGUGGGCAUGUAUAUUCAGUGAAAUGAAAUGCAGUUCUUUGCAAUACUUCUUCAUAUCUGAACCUAUGCUUGGGUGUCACUUUUGGCUGUCUGUGCUAACGCAUAAUUAAAUAAAGACACCACAAUGGUUCACUAUAGAAUCUUUCUAAUUGCCUUUUGAUACCCAAUUGGCAAUCUGAACCAAUCAUUGUUUGCCAUGUUGUUUUUCUUUUUGGAUAAAAGAAAUCCUGCGAUUCUGUUUACAACACAAGAUUCGAAUGCACAAGAUACACAGCCAUGACCUGGAGUGCAUGGUCUGGACACACUACACCUAUUGCUUGUCUUGUGAGCAGAGCACACGGUAUGAGUGCAUCCGGUGAGAUUUGGUUUGUUUUUGGGCCCUUACUGAAGAAGUAGCAUCCUAUUCCUAGGGACGGGGUGGGUCAUCAGGGAACAUCUUGAAGGAGCAAAUCCGAGCCAAGUCUCCUAUCAGGGGUGGGUCUACUAACCACGCGCUAGUCUCCCAUUUUCAGUUUGGUGAUGUACGUCUGAUCUGCUUCCUCUGUCUCCAUCCAGAUCAGGAAGGAGCCCCAGAAAAACAACGACUUGCCAUGUGAGGAGUGAUGUAGCGGCUCGAGACUGAAUGAAGACUUGGAUUCUUGCGAGAUUUGAAGCUCGGCCAUUUGUUAAGUUCCAUCGUAUACGUUAGUUGGGGUCAUUGCUAUACUUGCAGCCACUGGUCAACCUUCUACUAGCACCCACCGAACCUCUCACACAUCUGCCGUCGAUCCACCCUCAGCUGCGCUACCGAGCUCUAUCUUCUCAUUUUACUCACACUCAAAAUUCAGGUGUAACUAUUAACAGCAGAAGCUUCAGCUUUGAAAUACUGACAGUAGUAACUGAAUCAAUGUCAGGCUCGCUUUGCUUCAUCUUUAUGCUGUUGCCACUGCUGUCAUCCAUGUGCUUACAAAGCUCCCUAAACUACUCUUACUUCUUCUUCAAGUGUGUGCUCAAUCGCUAGCUUGCUACUUUGUUAAGUGUGUGCUCAAUCGCUAGCUUGCUACUUUGUUAAGUUUGUGGGAAGUGUCUCUAUCCGAAGUUCAUGAGGAUUUUAAUAAUUGUUUGCACAUGAACACUUUUGCAAUCUAGCUAUGCUAAGCUUUCAGGUUAUUUCACAAGCACGUGGGCAAGUUGAAUCAGGAGCCUCAAUCAUCUGACCGCAAUCUGAGACUCAUUUUCCCGAGGGAAGAACCGGGAAGGGAGAAGCCUGAGAUGUUAUAAGGAAGAAAGAAUGGGGUUUCCCCGCUUAUUAUGACCCUUCUAGCUUUAAUCUGCUGUAGUAGUCUGUCGAUGAAUCAUACGAAAACAGGCCAAUUUUUUCAUUCGUUCUUGUCAGCGUGGACAUCUAUAUUCAGUGUAAUGUGCAAUGUCUUCAUAUCUGAAACUAUGCUUGCAUGUCACAGUGGUUACCUGUGCUAAAA
rnacentral:lncRNA from 1 species